rnacentral:lncRNA from 1 species
GAGAGACAGCUUUUAAGUCAGUAGCGAAAGCCUUAGUUAUGUGGUUAAGCAUGAGGUAGUUCGAGCCUUGUUACCGAUCAGUCCCACUUCUAUUAUGAGUAGUUGGAUUCCCACUUUGGAGCUUUAUUCUUACCCCUUCCCUUAGUCGGUGCAGAAAGGAAAGGAUUCAAGUGGCCACUCUGACUCUUACAGAUAGUAUGAAAUCCCCUGUUUUCCUAACCGGGCAUGAUAGUUUUCAGAAUUCAAGUAAGUAAUGGAAUUCCUUGUUAGUGGAGUAAGUCAUAUAGAAAUUCCGUAUUGGUAGCACUGGUUUCGUUCUGUUAGGUAGUGCUCAAUUACUGGUUGAUAGUUGAGUUUUGCUACUAGCAAGUUCAAUUCCAAGUGUGUGUGGGGCAUAGUAUAUAUUCUGCAUUUCCGUAUUGGAAGCAUUAUAGCAAAAGUCCUGUUAGCUGCGAUUUAAGCCUUAUCAGUAGUAGCUCCAUUCUAGUAUGCCCGAGCUCGGGCCCUUUUCUCAUAGAUUUCUGCUUUUUAUUGGUUGGUAGUUUUCUUCUAAGGCCUCUAUACACGCUAUAGGGUUCGGUGUCAGUAGGGCUCUUGAUUGACUCCAUCUUUCUACGUGUAACACAUGGAUUAGACUACAAAUACUAACGAACCUUCUACCGAACUAUACCUCUAACCUUCCCGAACUAUAACCACCAUUCUCAUUUCUCAUUGAAAACCACCUUGCUCGAUCCCGGCAUUAAAGAAAGAAUAGUACAAGCGAAGGGGCUAAGUCAACCCCAAGAAUUCCACUUCUUUAGCCUUGGGCCUGCUACUUCUAAGUUGGAUUCUGAGAUUCCUUAUGAACCAUCAGGUGUUCCCUUCUUUGUUUCCUAUCCAAUGUAUCUCCUCACUUUCGAAUUUCAAUCUGUAUUUCCAGUAAAGUAUAAGUACUCUUAACACUAAGUUGAAUUCUCACUUGAAAACUUGGUAUUGGCAGCUGAGCGCUACUACUAUAUACUAUAAGAAUGAGCUAUGUUUGGAGGUGCCUCAGAUCAACCCCAUAAGAUAUGUGGAAAGAAAACAACCCCACUAUUUGUAUCAAUAGAAAAACGACCUUACUAUUGACAGUACCAAUGUUAUUGUGAUUCUUGCUUUUGUUUGGCAGUUCCGAUGCUAUUCUCUUUCUAUUGGUGUUGGAUUUCCCCGUGGGUGUUUUCACAGCCUUAUCCGUAGAAACAUAUUCUAGUAUAAGAUAAUAGGUAAGUGAUGCUCAUAAGUAAGAAGUCAAUGCGGAAUACAGUUUGGAAGCAAGUAAGAUAGGACUGGUUUCGCAGAGAAAGAGGAAGAGGAAGUACUCUACACCAACAGAGCCUGCCGCUACUGGUAUGAAUUCUCCAUCUAUUGACGCCAAGCCCACUUCCAACGAUUUCUUGCAUCUUGCCCAGGGCACCUUAGGCUUUACUGCUUACUUUGACUCUUCCACUACGGACCUCGGAUCCACCCUUCCCGGACAACUCACUGCCGAAAAGAGUGUAGCGGCGGAUUGACUACUUUAAAGACAUAAUAGGCUAUGUGGUUGGUGAGACAGAUACCUAGGUUUGGGCAAGGCGCAGUACCUGACUACUUAAGUGCAAUUCUGUUUCCUUUGGUUUCAUCCUUGCCUGUAGUACUAGGUUAAAAGCAAGUAGUGCAAAGAUCCUACUCAGUAGAGAUAGAAUCGGCGUAAAGAGUCACAGUCUUGUAGGUGAAAUACAUAAUGUGAGGGAGGUUUUCAAGUCAGUAGUGGUAGCAUAGGGUGGUGUAGUAGCUUUCUUCGUUUAUGGCGUGUUUCAUUCGUAUUAGCUCUAUUUCCUAUUAGGUGUUUAAUUCAUUCUGAUUAGUCCACAACCUCAAAUUAGUAUUUAGUAACACUAUUCUUAGUAUCCAAUCCGAGGAGAGGGACAGUGACUAGUAGUAUCAAUCAGAAUCAUAAUGUUCCUCAGGGAUAAGGAAUUCAAGCUAGUAGCGGUGGACUUAACUAGGGGAGAGGCUGGUUCAUAUGCAGUUGUGAAAGGAGAAAAGUGAAUAGCUCGAGUCCUGUUAGCUGUAGUUAUCAUUCCGAUAGUAGUAAGUUCAAGUAUGAUAGUAAGGAGGUUCGCUAAGUCCUAUUUCUGCUAAGCAAAAGUGGAUUCUUGCCAGUACGGAUGCAUUUCUGGUUAUUAUCAGUUCCAUUCGUUAUUUACUAUUUCAAUGCCCUAUAGCUAUGCCCGGUAUACUCUAUUAUGUCUUUCAUUCCCUGGUAGUGGGGAGGUCGCCUAGAAGCACUAGCUCCAUUCUAAUAAGCAGUGAUUUCCGCCUUGGAACCGUUAGUUUCAGAAUAGAAGCAAGGUAAGUAAGGGCAGCGUGCUGGCUCAAAGGUCAGAGCGCUAGAAGGGUUUGAUAGCUAGGGGAUAAGGGCCUUAGAUAUGGUUGUUGACAUUACAAAUCAGAAUCAAAGGUAUAGUCAAUGAAUCAUAGGGUUGUUGGCGAGCACAAGUAAGGAAAACUGUCUGUUUGGGUGAGCUAAGCUCUAAGACUUCUAUUAGUCGGUGUCCUCUCUAGCAUAGGAAUCGGAAUAAGGAACACUGCAAUUGAACUCAAACAGAGACAUUAAACACAUAAAUACAGAAUUGAGCUCACCAGUAGCAUAAUCCAACUCCAAAGUCAGAAUGGAACUAAUAGGCAGUUUCUCUAAAUACAUAAGUGAGUACGUCACUCACAACUAGAGGUCUCCCACUCCCAGCCCAGUAUAUGAUUCUACAGCUUAUUGUUUGACUUGUCAUUCUUCCAAGCUAAAUGACCCAUGCCUUUCUUAGUAAAAGUAAAGGGAGAAUAACUAGAGAUUGUUCCUUAGUAAGUGGAAUGGAAAGUUCCUUAGUAAGUGGAAUGGAAAGCUUGCAAGGUCUAGACUGGUGAUCGAAAAAGAAAGAAUCCAUCUUGAUUAUUUGCCUUGGCCGGCCUGUUUCAAAGUACCUUCCAAAGUCAUAACCUGUUUCAAAGUACCUUCCAAAGUCAUAAAUAGAAAGAAGAAAUUCCAGAAAGACUGACUUAAUAGGCUAGGAAAACCCUACACUGUAUCGAUGGCACUGAGUCUUCGUCUUCAUCUCAAGCAAAAGAAAAUAAGCUAGAUCAGGAUCCACCCACGUAAACUAAGAGCAUUUCGGCAGAGGAUGCAAUACUGGCUUUAGCCUUACUACCUGAUGAAGUAGACAAUACAACUAGUACUGAAUGACAGAAAACAUACUCUGAGGCACUACUGGCAAAGUCAAUUGUGAAAAAACGGACUGGACUUUCAGACGUCAGCAGAGUGGAGCCUAUUUAUGGAUUUUCUUGACACACUAUCGGGAAUCGAGAAAAAGGCAAAGGGCGGCACGCACUUAGGAGCUUAUGUAAGUAAAGACUUGCUGUCGUUAGGGCAGUCUUUCCGGGUCAUUAUUCUUACUGAAUGAAAACCAUGACUAUAAUAUAAUGACAAUUUGUGAAUUUAGAGUACUACCGAGUUUGAUAGAAAGCUGUGCUAUGAUUAAGAGAAAGAUAUAGCCGUAAGCAAUUCACUUGAAAAGCGUUAAGAUAGGAGGCGAGCUACUCUCUACACAGGUUUGGAAUAUUACUAGCAAUCCAGUGGUACACAAACAAACUAACUAGAACCUUCUAUUACUUAUAGAAAACCUUAACGAACUAACUAGAACCUUCUAUUACUUAUAGAAAACCUUAUUUAUUCAUUUAUGAAACGGAAGAAGAGCUGCUACGGUGGGGGAACCUAACUAACCCAGUAAAUCCUAGGAGUCGGCACUUUUACUAAGAGCCCAGCAACUGAUCUAAAACAAAGGGGUCUAUUUACAAGGAUCUAAAACAAAGGGGUCUGUCUCUUGACAAGAAAGAAAGUAUGGAGAAAGUAUGAACUGGUUUCCGUGGGCGAACUCCUUCUACUAUGGGGGCCUACCCUACGACCCAUUUCAAUCGGGCCGCUGCGGCUCAACAAUUCACGCUCUUCGUAUCUGGGCUUUUCCACUACUCGGGACAGAGCUUUUCAGCAUUAGAGAAUCGAGACCGCUUACCGCCCUAUCUUUCACUUCGGGAGUUUCAUAUUAACAUAGCACUUCCAUCCAUACCUCUCACGAUCGGCGUUCAGUCUUUGUCUUAUGAAUUCGAUCUCUGCCUCUAAGGUCUAGGUAAAGAUCUGCACGUCCAUAAAUAAGGCAAUCGGUAACUGCGCUUCAAACCGAAUUAAGAAAGAGCGAGCGCAUCUGGUUACUAGAAAGAUCCUAUCCGACUCGGUCGAGCAAGACCCUAAGCAGGAUCGAGCUGAGGCUUCCACGACGGGUCCAGGUCUAUUACCUUAGUCAGUCUUUCAUUCAAUUCAGAGGUGCCGUGCCACAAGCCGCUCGAAUUCAGAGAAGAGUCUUAUUGGGCGACACAAAGAUCAGACAAAUUGCAUCCAUCGGGACAAGAUCGAAAAGAAUGGGACAUCGCUAUGGGAUUUGUUGGAAAACCCUAACCGCGACGACGUCUUCCCGUCUUUACCCUUGGUUAGCCCAAGGCGAGAUUGAAGACAAGUGUUUUUCUCGAUCUCGAGCAAGAAGCGGAACUCAAAGACAUUUCUGACGAUUAUGCCCAACAGCCCACUUGAGCAAUUUGCGAUUAUCCCAUUGAUUCAAUUGAAUAUAGGAAACUCAUCUUUCGAAAGCCACUUAAGUAGAAUUAGAAGUAUCUCCGUAGGUACUGUUUCAAUAGAUCACCUUUUUCAUUCAGUCAGUAGAAAUCUUGAUUAUGACAUCCCAAUUCCUUCCCGAGACCUCCCAAGGCGAAUCAGAUCCAAACGGGUGAGUUUGAGCUUAUCCAUGCGGCAUUCUUCGAAUAGGAAUCCAUUUGAUGAAAUAUCUUGCUUUGGUUUCCGAGAUCCUUUCGAUGACCUAUGUUGUGUUGAAGGGAUAUCUAAAAGAAAGAGAUUAUUCGAUCGAUUGCUUAAAGCCCGAGGUAGCAACGGAACCAGGGAAAGUCUACAGAAACCACGGUUAUAUUAGCAUUUUCUAUUUGUUAGUCAUCUCGGUUCAGUGAGUGCUUUCUUACUAUAUUCACUGGCUAGCUAGAGUCGCUUCACUGUAUAGCUUUGCUUGGGGCCUCUCUCUUAAAUAAAGGGGUGUUCCUGGUCAAAUGAUGGAUCAAGGGCUUGGGGCCUCUCUCUUUUCUACCAAUUUGGGGUAAGGCUAGAGCAGAAGCAUCAGAAGCAAGAAGCGCCCACAUAAGCUUAAAGGGCUUAGUAGACUACCACAAGGGCAGAAAUUAGCUAAUUCAUUCGGAUCGGGAAGAAGAUGGCUUCUUAUUGAAACUAAAACAUAGUCCAAAGCGAUUUCGCAGCUUAGUUGUGGGAGUCCUCCUAUAUCCUUCCUAAAGCUUCCGAAUGGGGAGAAUAUUGACGGCUGCACCAUUAUCCACCAAUACCUUUAUUAGAGGCAGAAGCUGGUAGUUUCACCUAUCCCUAGUAGAAAGCCGUGGAAAGAUUACCUUAUUUCUUCACCGGCUACCACUGACAGAAAGAACGGAACAGGAAGGACCCCAAUGACUACGGUUUGCCCGGAACCUACUGAGACCUGAUCAUGAGCGACUCUAGUUCUAAAAGCAUGUCUUGUAAACUAUAAGAAUGCUGAUCAAAUGCAUUUCCUUUUCUGAACCACACACCAAGAUCGAAAGAAAAGAAUGUAGUUCCUGGGCCUAUAAGACUGCCUGCUGAUUUGCUUGAUUUCUUCUCUUCUCAGUUGACGGUUUGAUAGGAUAUCGAUCGGUCUUUGAAUCUUGCUUUUAUCCACCCUUCUAGCUAGCCUAAUUGAAACGGGAGCAAAAAGGAAGGAAGGACGAUUUAUCCCCACGGUGCGGUAUACUGCUCCAUUGAUAAGAACUGCCUUCCUAUACGAAGAAAUCCAUCCUUAUUGGGUUUGGUUACAUACCUCCUGCAUGUACUUACUUCUGCAUUUCCCUAAAAACCUACUUCCUGGUGGCUACCAUCUCCCAUCUCGCUCUAGAAUAGAAAGGGAGGGCAGGGAAAUCUGGUACUAUCAAACAAAGGUCCCGUCCCACAGCGCCGACUACAACCUCACCAGAAUUCUCUCGUGCCAUUUGAUCCUUUCUGUGUGGGCAAACUACUAAUGUAUUGAUCAGGACGAAAACUCUACAAAUUACAUGGAAAAAGAAAACACAGGCCGCAGAGUCCUCUCAGUCCACGAGGGCGAUAAGCUUAGCACAGGAACUUAUGGUCUAAACUGACAGUGGAAUCGGGUCAACUGCCCUUUCUCGGUCGAAGCUUUAGAUCUCAGAGGUCCUUGUGAUCAAUCCAUUGGAAUUCUAUUGGUGUGUCGGUCGCCCACUCGGAAUGGUUACUGGACAAGAAUGACUAAAGGCCCUUUUCGCCCGGCCUGAUGAACUCUUCCUUUCAUGCUGGGCAUAGAGCUGCUAUGGCGGUGCACCUAUACAUCUUGAUGAACCUUACACAAUGGUGGAUCAUAUAUUAUAUAUAGGAAUAGGAUGGCUCACAUUACAUUAACAGCUCUUCCAUUCUUCCAGAGUGGUUUGAAUAAGUGGAAUCCCAUUUCUUCCAGAGUGGUUUGAAUAAGUGGAAUCAAAUACUAAAGGGUCCCCGGGAGAAGGCAUUUUAGGACAAACAUCUACACGUAACCAUGACCAACUUACUGUCAUGCUUACCGAAACUACUAGAAGUCGAACUCGCUCGCGGGUAGGGAGAAUUGGUUAACAUUCAUUCCCAGCUAACCAACUGAGUGACUAGUGGUGGGCAAGAGGGUUUACAGGGUUAGGUAGUUGAUUUAUGAAAUAGGAAUUCCUAGUUCACCAUUCGUUAGCUUUCGAAACUCCUGGGAUAUCGACGAGUCAUCGCCUUGAGUCUGCCCUUCCUAGUUAGGCAAUUGACUCUCGCCCUUACCAUAGGCACCGUUCGAUGAAAGGCACUAUCGACUACGUCUUUCUUGAGUACCGCACGAUGCCACUGUCCGAAAAGGGUAUCCGCCACCUCUGCUCAAAGGAUAUGAAUAACAUCAUUGUAGCUGGGCAACAUUGCGCUGUCCCUGGGCUGGUCAAUGGUUAAGGGUAGCUGAAUCCACUGUAGGCGAAGUGGUUACCCGAACCCACCUACGAACCUCGAAUAUACGCGAAACCGGUUUCGUAUCUAAGAGCUGGAUACCUUCUUAUUAAGAUUUUUUCUCGACUCUUUCGAACAUCGUUUUCUGGACUCAGACUCACUAGCGAGUGCAUUUCCGUCUUAGAGCUUGAGCAGUUUGUCAAGUAGUCAGAGGAUUAUCGUGCUGGUCUUACUAGCAAUGACUUUAUUGCGGGUGCUAUGGAAUAGUUGGUGGGGGAGUUCCAUCAUCAUCCCUUCAUGAAGUAUGUAAGGUAGUUGAAAGAAAGCUAAGGGCCAAUGACUGGGGCUCUUUUCGAGCGCAAUAAGGGAGUCCCUCAGGUUAAAGAUAUUCUCACUGCCAAUAGGAAGGUAGAAUGAUAGCCUAUAAAAACUAAAUGGGGCUUCUUCUUUGGAUCUGUGUUACUCAUAGGGUUGACUGCUUGGUGGGUCGAGAAUGCCUUACAACUAACUCUCUUUGUCCGGGCUUGGCUGGUUUCUUGGGUCCGGUCCUUAGCUGGUGUGAGGCAAGAAGGAAGAGAGAGGCCUGUCUACAUGCGUUCCAAAGCCCUGGAUCAGAGUGCUUCGCCCUACCACUAGUAACUCUAUUGGAAUUGGUCGCUCCUUGAUUAGAGCAUGGCAAUUCGAUUCAGAUUUGGCAAUCAAUUAGAAGGGUCCGGUCCCCCAGAGGGAGAUCAAGAAACCGCUUUGAAUCUCUGAGUUUAUCCCCCGGGUUCUAAGAAUAGCUGGUGCCCUAAAGUACUCUCCCCGGCUCAAAAACGGUUAGUGACUGGUCAUAAAACGCCCGGACUGGUCUGUCUAUAGAAUGCCCUAAAGUCCACAGUUCGGAAACCAAGGGAGUGCCAUUAAGGAGUUCUUGAGAUCGGUACCUGUCAGUCAGUGCUCGCUUUCUCUUAGGCAAUGAAUUGAGAGUGGAGAAGUCGUCUGUUCUAGGCAUAGCUUGAACCCGAAAAACAUCUAUUCUGGUUUUUGGUAUCGAGAAAUCCCCUUAUUUAUUUCUGACUAACUACAAUGCUACACUCGCCGUGGGAAUAAAAACACCUGAAUGCAUGACUAAUUGGGAGACAACAUAGUAGUGAAAUUGGUGCCUUAGUGCCAUAGAAAGUGAUUCGUAAGGCGAGCGAGGUGGACAUCAGUAAUUUCGAUUGCCAGCAAAAAAGACAAGUAAUAAACGGAAUGGAAGAUCUCGUUUUCUCUGUCCCCCUUUCUCCUUAGUAAGCAAAAAAGCGAGAAUCCUAUUUUGUAUGCUUAUGUGCACAAUCCCCAGCUAGGGUAUCGGUAAAGCCCUUUUUUGUGAUAUAUGAGAAUGGAUUGAACGAGUUUCAAGCAAGUUCCAAUUCAAAGGUGAGUCGGCAUGUAAUGGACUGGUAGAUUAGGCUCCUAGCUGCUUCCAUGGAAUGAGAUUCGAGUGCGUGGAUAAAGGAAAUGAGUAAAACUGCUUCCUUCCGUCUUUCAUUAGGGUUCAUCUAUAGGGAAAUCAUAUAGUACGGGUUCAUCUAUAGGGAAAUCAUAUAAUAACUACGUCAGAGUCGGAGUGCCACCCCGCAGAGUGAGGCUUAGUUUUCAUCAAGAGCUUGUUCAUUCAACAGGUUUCCGUCAAUCCAAUCUAGCUUCGUAUGUCUACCCUAGCUAGAGAGAGUGAAGAUGGAAUGAUUUGACUCCAACUCCUAGCGUGCUAAGCCUCCGUAUGCUUUUUCAUAAGAUCCCUCCCACUACUCAGCUUAUUAUUUCUUGAACGGAACUGCGAGACUAAAGGAUGUGAAACCGCGCAGAGGGUGAUGGAAAUGCCAGGAACGUGGACUGAUUGAAUACUCUCUAGCUUAGCGGUACCCUUUUUUAGGAUGUGAGCAAAUAACGUCAGCAAUUAUCAUUUCAUUGUCCUAGUCCUAAGGAUGUGAAGCAGCGGGCGGGCUUACUUCUAUCUUAAGAUGUGAAGCAGCGGGCUUACUUUUUGCUUUUAUAUAAAGGAGAAUAUAAAUGAAUGUUUAUAUAAAGGAGAAUAUAAAUGAAUGACAUCGUAAUAUAAAUGAAUGGCAUCGAAGCUUUAUACUCAAGAAUCCAAUUCGACCGCUUCCCUAACUAACCUAUAUUCAACAUCAAACAAGUUGCUAACUGCUGCUGAUAAGCGACAUUCAACCUGGCCAAGCAACGCCGAAACAGACUGACCCAAGGGAGUUACAGAAUGAAACCCGAAAGUAAGAGUUGAGCUCAUAUAAGCAAGAAUACAAGUAAGUAGCCCGGACUCAAACUAUUCACCCUAAAUGCGACUACUUCAAUUAGAACUCUAGAACGGAAAUGACCCUCGGGCAACCAUACUCUCGUGCUACUACCCUUGACUUUAUAUGCAUUCUUACUUCCUUCUGCUUCAAAUACUGUCUUUUAUUCUGACUUUCCUACUUUACUACUCGCUAAACAUUACUACGCUACCUUAGGUGAAUUCCACAUUUCCACUUGCAGUUCUGUGCUGUUGAAAGCAAAGAAAGGUCGGUGUUGACUCGCUACCGCCCAGAAAACAACACUUAGUCAUAAUUCUGUUUAAUAUAAGUGAUGUGUUCGGUUACGCGGCAGUCCGGGCUACUUAGUUUGCUGUGGUUCCAUGUUAUACUAAUCGUGUCCUGUAUUCGCGAUAUACGUCUGAUACGGCGCCUAGAUAUAACUGAUACUAAUAUACUGGAGUUUUGUUCUAGUACCACCUUAGGAGUUGCAGAAUUCUAGCAAGGACAAUAAGAAUCAGAGAAUGGGGGUAAGUUCAGAUCCGAGGUCAGUAAUGCCAAGGUUCGAGGGUAGCUGGGGAAGAGUCAAGAUAGUAGGCCAGUUUGCCAGUAUAGAGAUUCUAGUUUGAUGAGUUUGAUUCUAAUAGUUAGCAGCGAUAGCCUGUUUGCCCGUCGUACUGUUCGCCAGAGUUCGAUUCUCUCGUUAGUAGAAGUAAAAGCCUUUGUUCCCGGCUCAAUUCUGUAUGUUGACUCCUGUUCUUCUGCUUAGGAGUGCGGUUCCCUCCUAUCCUCCCGAUACCCGCUCUUUUACUGAUGGGCUGGAUUCUUUAACUCCAAAGUGAGUAUGCAAGGGAAAACUCCGAGUCUGAUGGACGGGGAAGCAAGCCGUGGAUGAAGCCAGGGUAGGCUAAGAAGUAGGAAAGCUAGACUUCAAGCAAGGGGCGGGUCCCCAAGUAGUCAGGAUGCCAGGAAGGAUACAUAGAAUUACAGCAGAGGGCCCCCAAUUUGAAUAACUCUCCCAGAGUGGACAAGCGAUACAUAAAAGGUCUGCUGGGGCAUAGAAUAAGACGUGUACCGCCAGGUUAAGUUCAAUUAAAUGACGAAGUAAGGGUUAGGUUAAGCGGGUAGUGUUUAAGAGUGAAAGCGCUGAGAGGGAAGGAUUAAUAAAAGGGGAAAGAAGUCAGUUUGGUAGUUAUCAUUGGAUAGUUAGCAUUGGAUAGUUAGCAUUGGAAGAACCGCCAAGUCACUACAAAUGUGACAAUGAAUUCUUUGUUUACGUUGACCGCUCAAAAGAAAGAUUCCAGUUUUCUAGAUUCGAUCUAAAUUCCCAAACAAGAACAUGCGCUCGAAAAUAACUGUUUGAAGCUGAAGCAUUAAGUAUUGUCAGGACCAACUGCUCUCAUAUCAUAUAAAAAAGGGUAAUAUGUUAGACUCAAAUGAACUAGAACAACUGAUAGUAACCUAAAUGGGAAUUUGCCCAUAAUCGGAGUCACCCCUAUGUGAAACUUAGCUAAAUCAAGGAAUAUACUAAGAUCCAUGUGGAGCAAAGCAGAUCUCCGUUAAUUGAGUUAGAGUGAAAGCACCAGCAAACAGGAUUGAUAUCUGAAGCAUAAGAAGGAAAGCCGAUGAAGCAUAAGAAGGAAAGCCGACAAUAUCAUAUAUGUUAUCAAGCCCACGUAGCGGUAACCAAUAGGUUGGUUAGCUGAAAGAGCGAGGUCAGGCAAAUCAGAAUUCCAUUCAAAAGUCCGGGUAUGAGUAACAAAUAUAAGAAUCAAACUAAUAAGUAAGCCUACCUGUCUUGUCAGUGAAUCAAGUGAAUCAAGCUAAUAAGUAAGUAUACCUGCCUUUGGAUAUGAGCUAUAAGCCAUUGAAUAGUAUAUAUCAGAAUGGAACUACCAGCUCAACUCCUUGUUUCGAGUUCCAUUUCUCGUAUGCCUGGGUUCGGGUCUUGUUAGCUCGGGCUCAACUCUAAUAGUCAGCAGCUCCAGCCUGUUUGCCAUUGGUUCUAUUCCGAGAAGCAGUAGCAUUGGUUCGAUUCCCUUUAUUGAGUAAGUCAGUCAGGAAGCAACGGGCCAAGCAACGACUAGACAAGACGGCCCCCCAUUGCCUUGCCUUCGACCCAGAUAGAAAACAUUUGGGUUCUUCGCUGCUUCUAUAUUGCUCAGUAUAGCACUCUAAGAAUCAGUUUCCAACAAACGGGUGUUUUUCUAGAAUCAAUCAAUCUAUUAAUAUAGGUGGCCCAAUAAACUACAUGAAUGGAAGAUGUUUAUGAUGACUGGAUUGACGUAAGGACCAGCACGCUCGCUAUUAAAGGUAGCUUCUAGCUCUACCCUUUGUCUUUAUUUCCCCUUUCUUUUGAUUCAAAAAAGGAAUGGUGAAUAUAGCCUUUAGUCUUUAGUUAUGGUGAAGGAACCUUGGGCUCAGGACGGAUUUGACAGGUUCGAUUCUCUUUGAUUUUGUUUGAUUGAGAGUAAUAGUGUGCCUUAAGAAAGAUGCGUACCAACGAGGGAAUGAAUCGACGAAAAAGUGGAAAUCCGAAAUUAGCAAAGUGUGAAUUCUCUUGGAAUUGUAAUAGUAGAAAGGCUUAUCAAAUUGGACAACACAUUUGAUUUGAGAUUAUUCGCCCUCGUAUUAUACAUCAGCUAGAAGCUAUUUUGGUUCAUCAGCUAGAAGCUAUUUUGGUUAAGGCCCAUUAGUAUUAGUUGUUCUUGAAUUAGUGUCCUAUUUCUUGUCACUACCAAUUAUAGACGAUACCGAUAAAGAGUUGUCGGACUUUGUGAGUGCAGUAAUACCGUCUGCGUAGUACUCAUUCUUUCUGUAGAAUUGAUUAGGUCGAUACCAUAACCUACACUACAUAGUUAUGUAGCUCCUAUGGGAGGAGGAGCCCAUGAUACGAGUAAGCAAACCAAUGCGCCCAGCCCACUCCGAGAGCUAACAGGUGGAGCGGUCGGUAUUCUCACUGACAGGUUGUAGGUUCGAAUCCUACGCGGGGUUACGAAAGCUCAAAGAAGUAAAUAGAGAAGCUGUUAGCAUUGAUUUGCGAAUGAAAUAAGUCUGUGAAUAGAUUGACUGCUCUCGCAUAUCAGCUGUAGAAAGUGAAUAUAGCAUAUCAGCUGCCCUUCUUACUAGGCUUACUUUAGGUCGGAUAGUUUUCAAGUGAUCAAGUCAAAACUCUUUUAUGUCAAUAGAGAAAGCACAUUAAGAAAGAAAGCAAGUAAUUAGGUUUAUUGUUGAGAAUCUUUUGAAAUGGGUUCCCUUUCUUUAUCUUUAGGGCGAAGGGAUGGGCUUUCAAGGGAAUGAAUAGGCAUCUGAUAAGACCCCGGCCCCUACGAACCUCGUUAUUUCUUUUUUCCACACUAGGAACAUAGUAGUGGUUGUAGCUUCGCUCCCUUUGCCACCGGCCCUUGAUAUCAAAUAAGAAAACCACGAUCUCGAUCUUUCAACGAGGAAAUGAAACGCUAGAACAAGAGCAAGCCCAAGAGAAAAAAGAGCUCUUCCAAAUCCAAUAUAUCAUAUAAUUUCAUAUAGAACAUAUAAUUUCAUAUAUUAGGGGUAAUGAGGUCCGACCAGACUACGGCUUCGGCUCCCUCCUCCUCGUAAUAGAACUCCAACUGACUCAAUCUAUAGGUCAUAGGAAUGAACCGUUUUUACCCGAUCUGUCUCCUUACCAUGGCUGGUGCAUAGCUAAUGCAUCCCCAAGGUCCUAACAGGGGAACUAAGGGUCAUUACCACAUCUGCAAGGGUCAUUACCACAUCAGUAUAAUACCUGACACGGAGCCGGGCCCCAUACAAUACUUUUCUCAUUCAUGUCUUGCCCAUACAAUACUUUGAUCAUUCAUGUCUUGAAGGAGACUUAACCUAUUGAAGUUUGGUAUACGGUCCCGUCCAUUUGCUCUUCCUAAAUUCUUAUACAUGGAUUUUCUCCUGCCGGCUUCGAUAAUUGGCGUUCGCAGCACUCGAGAUGACUUCUUAUCCAGACGUACAAUAAUGCACCCUAUGAAUCGUCCUUAUCCUUUGGUCCGGAAAAAGAUUGGAACGUAUUCGCCUGUAUUGCUGGUAAAGGGUUGGUUCCAUGUAUGACUUGACUGAAAAGAUCCACCACUCGAACAUCCACCCAAGGCCUUUGGGGGAAGAGAUAGGUUCUAACCCAGAGUAAGCCAGUGCCAUAAUGAGUAUGCCCGCAUCAGAAUCUGGGUGCUGUUCAACAACAGUCUGCAGAGGAAUGGGCUAGUAUCAAAACCUAAACCUUAUCCUUUAUGUACGGAUCCAGUUCAUAUGCGUGUAUGCCCAUCAUUUUCGCGAGUUAGCUCUUGAAACCCACCUUUCCGCUCAUGCAAAUGUUCAAAAGGCUUUGUUUGUCUGGACGGCACAUUGAGCAAGACAGUGUAUUCUUCAAUGGUUAAGAGUAAUAUCAAUUGAGCCGAAAGUAUAGCAUCGGUAGUUAGGAUCCCGGACUGGCAGCCUUUAGUAAUUAGUAAUUGGUCGUCAAUGGGAACUUUCAGAAGAGAGCCAAUGUGUCCAUACUUACGGCAAAAUUAUGGCUUUCUUUCUUUAUAGUAGCAAACCAUCCUUUACAGACCAGACCUUAUCCAGUCCAGAGCGAAACUAUAGUUCUUCCUAGGAUCCAGGCUACCUUUUUAGGCAAUGGAAUUCCCUUUGUUUAUGGUAGGAAAUCUAAGGCCAAUAAUUCGAUCACCAUUCCUGGCUCUUCGCAUAUGGAGAACUCGAAGAAUUAGGGUUAGGCUGUAAAUUACAUAGAAUUAGAAAAAGCGAUAAUAAAGAGGGUCUUUCAAUGAUAGCUAGGAGCGCUGUUUCCUCCAUAUGCUAGAUUCAAUGCCAUAGAGGAUAGGGAAAAGAAAGGAUGCAAAAGUAACAAAAAGAAAACACAGAGUUUGUAAAGUGAAAAGAAAGGUAGAGUUUCCAGGAUAUGAGUAAGGUAAGAUAGCCGCUUUUGCCUAAGCUGAGCUUUCUUUCAUAGCUUUUGCUGUAAACAAAGAAAGACUUAGAAUCAUCCUAGUACUAAUCGGGGGAACUUCCUCUAUAAAGGCUCAUUUUCACCCUUCUAUGUCCCAAAGUCAAGUUUCAAUCAUGUUCUCCCUUCUCUGUCCCAAAGUUCCGUUUAAGUAUAGAAUCCAAGUUCUGUUCUAUCAGUAUAGAAUCCAAGUUCUGUUCUAAUGGAUUUAGACUAGCAAUUCCUUCCUUUCGCCUAAUCAAAGAUAUAAGGUGGCACCCAAACGAAGAAAUAAGAUAAGGCCCUCCUCACCUCAAUGCUAUGGAUCAGAACCCGUAGUCGAGUGGCAGAAGGCUCAGUAAGAAUCCAUUCUUGCCUUGAAAGAAAAUCCAACUAAGCCCAUUGCUUUGACUUUCUUUCUUGGAAGUAUUUGAUUCGUUGCAAGCUUUGGGAUUGCUAGUAUUGCUUGCUUUCUCAAUCAUUGUCGAGAGAGAUGGAACUGAUUGAUUGGAGCGGGUAAUGUUUACCGUGCGGGCUUAGUAACGAAUGGUUCAUGAGGAAACAGGAAUGUUUUAGUUGAUCAAGGAAGGGUUUGAGUAGAAAAGUCAUGAAUGGAAUUGACUUGCUGGUGUUAACUUGACUACCUUGGUUUGUGAAACAGUGAUGCCUCCAAGGUCGGGUAGAGGGAAGAGUGGAAUCUCCAAACUCAUUGGUCGAUGAAUUAUGUAUUGAUCAAUGGUUGUUAGCGAAUUGAGGCAAGGAUAAGGAUGGUUUGUGGCUCGUUCAGUUCCCCCACGCCCCUAUGGUUUAUUAACCUCUGGAAUACCCCUUCUUUUUCUUAAGCCGUCUGUGAAAAAGACCUUCACCAUCUCUGAUUGCCCUCGUCCAUGGUCACUGAUAUCAUAUAACCUCUGAUCUAGUAAUCUGAUCCGUGUGCACCUCAAACGGCACAUCGUCGUCCGGGCGCUUUAUUAAUAGGUUCUACAGAAGGUUGGUAAUAUACUCUUAUGUAAGUAAGCGUUCUUUCUUCGCGUCCGUCAUCGCCUGCUGCUGGUCUAGCCUUUUGACAACGAUCAACAAAUCGGUGUUGGUAAGAGUUUUUCGCCUUAAUGAACCGCCGGUAAGAGUUAACUAGUCCCAAACAAACCUAACCUCUUCGACUCGUUUCGGAACCUUACAUUCUCGUCGAGAUAUCCGCUGGCUCGUACCUUCCCAUUGUCCAUCUUGAUCAUUUCCUCGCUAAUUAAUCCAGUGGCCAAUAACCGUUCUUUCUGGUCUGCGAUGCAUUCUUGGCUGCCCCAGUAGUAGUCAUUGUGUCGUGGCACUCCUUUCUUUUGUAGUGACUUUCUCCAAUCUAUAUUAGGCGCUAGAUUGCAUUCCCUUUUGUGGAGCCUACUGAUCUUGCUUGCCAGUGGGUGGGAUAGAAGACCUCUUUUUAUCUGUCUUUCGCCAGGUUCCAAAUAGCAUUAUGUCUAAUAGCAUAGGUUUCAAAUCCAAUAAAAGAGUUCUUUGCGAUCAGUUCUAAAGCCAGCCUUUGAAUUGCAGGGUUUUCUCGUGAAAAGAUAGUGAACAAGGUGCUAUUAGAGCAUACCGACCUGACUCAACGAACACAAACACAAUUAAUAGAAUCAGCGUACUCGCCUCCAUAUACGCCAUCGCCUCCAUAUACGCCAUUUAUGAAGAUGGAAAUACUUACUGACUCCGCCCGCCGUCUCCCUCCCCUAAGACUAGCCAUACGUAAGAAGCCCCUAUUUCCACGCAUGCGUGUCAGACCGUAAAGGAAGGAGCAGCAUAGGUAUAUUAUUCGAGGUAAAACCAUGAUUGUUUAUAGUACCGGAAGGGUUUGGCUCGCGCUUUAGCGUCAGGCGCUCUAUUUUCUUUCCGCUGACUGGAGACUCAACCUUUAUACUGCUUAUGCAGCUUACUUCAUAUUUUCUUCUUCCCUUCUCUUUUUGAAGAUGGAAUUCCGGUAAAACAUCCUUUUUUCUUGUUAGCUGCCCUCGACUGGAACUUCUGGUUUGGGGAGCUCCGGCAGUGGGACGUCGAGUCUCAUCUCAGCAGAACCUUCUCUUUUUCCUCAAACUCUCUGAUGCUGAGAGAAAAGCGAACUCUUUCUCAUUGUGGUUUCUAGCAAAAGUGGAACACAUUGAGCUAUCAUGUUGAGCUUGCUCUUCCUAUUUGAGGGUUUCUCUCAAGAUGCGCUGAAAGAUAUGAAUGUAUUGUGACGAGCUGCUCUUGGAUACUUUCUUCGUAAACAUCGAUAUGUUUUUGCUUCCAAUGAAUAGGCAGCCUUGGAUGCUUCUUACCUUUGCUAGGCUGGGUACGGUUCGAUCAAUUGCUUCCAAAUCCUUUACUUUCUGCUCAAAGUGGAGCUUUUUUUUUUGGUGGCUACACGAGUCUUAUGAAAGAGAACAAAUCUCACAAAUAGCUAAUUCUGGUCGAUAAGUAAAGAGUGGGGCAGACGGAAGAAGUUCCUUAGACCACUGACUCACCUGCCUUUGAUUUCAUAAUUCCAGCUCUUCCGGAGUCUAACAUCUUCCGGAUCUCGUCAUUCCCCUCUGCGACUUCAGGCUCACUCAAUCCUUUAUACUGUAGAUGCAACAGCCUACUGAUUGUAAUUCCAGGGUACUUGAUUGUCGGUCUCAUAGGGAAUUGGAUUUGGAUGGGUUUGACUGUGGUCUGGUAGUGACACGUGAUGGUGAUGAUGAGUAGGAUUGCUCAUGGAGUUAGGUGUAAAGGAUAUUAAAUGGAAACGGGCUGGGGUGUUCCUUUAGUAACUGCAAUUAACCGUUUAGCAGGAGCCUCCUUACCAAGCAAGCAGUAUUCACUUCUUCGCGGGAUUACGGGUCUUGUUAUAAGAGAUGGUUUUCCUUUUGCCUGCGCUUUCAGCAAUACGAAAAUGGCUUAGUUUGUUUGUCUUAACCCAUCUAUUCUAAAAUGCAGAAGCCUUACCCUCUUCCUUUUUUCCUUUAUUUUGAGAAAGGCUUUUGUUCAGUCUUGAUUGUGUGUUGAGAAGCCAAGAUGUGAGACAACUAAUAUAAGAAGCAAUUGAUGCACAUCUGAAGUUGUUGCGCUUCGAAGAGCUCUUGCUCACAGGAGAGUUCCCUAUGUAACAGGAGAGUUCCAUAUAGCUUUCAAGUCAUCAACUCGUCUUGUCUUGACGCUGCUUGGCUUCCGUCAAUUCUUUCACGCCUACUGUCCGCGAGUUCGGUUUGUCUGCAAGACUCAAUAAAAGUCCAAAGUGGUUCCCGAACACAGGACAAUGGAUUUAUUACUGGCUUUGCUUUUGGCAACUUCACUGGUUCUCUUGCCCUACUAAAUGAGAUCUUCCGCCCCACUGCCGCUACACUGACUACGUUACUUGCCCAGUGUCUUGGCCCUGUUAACCGAGUAGUUAAUGGCUUAGCGUAGUUAAUGGCUGAACGCACCCGGACAGUCCUUGGAAUGGAUUUACCCCCCUAAUAUUUCUUAUUCCCUUGCUGGUUCUAUUGCGCUUACUGAGUGGACAGACACGGCGGGCUUCUUCCUUUCCUUUGGUGUAAGACUUGCUCUUGGAGCGAGUAAAGACACUGAACAAGUUCUUUCUUCUUAGGGAGCUCACACUGCUUAUGGGCGCUUCUGAUCUUUCUUCAUCUGUUGCUUUCGUUGCCUUUGCUCGAACUACACUGGAAUUUCAAACAGAAACCAACAAGCUACUAGAUAAGGACAAUAUGCAUGCAUCAUAAGGGCCAAGCUCAUACUUCAGAAUGGAAUGGAAUAGCAGUACAGGGUUAGUCGCUUUUCGGAAUUGUAAUAAUACGGAAUUGAAGUGGAAGUGCCUUUCGCACCCUAAACAAGGAGUGUAAGCGGCACUGAAUUCAUGCUUGGACCACUCCCAGAGACCAGACAUAGCCCAUUUGGCGUUGUUUCACUUAUGGUAAACAAAUAUGAUAGGGAAAAUCUAAUGGAAACUUGGAAACUGUCUUUCUAAUGAAUUUGGGGCCUAUACUCUUGUUUGUUUGCAAGCCGUUGAACUCAUGUAAGCACAACAUUCCGCUGCUUGUUUCACUGACAACUCACUUCCUUUAAUAAUGAAAGUAACAAAACGGAGCACUUACUCACUUAGCUAACUCCCUAACCCAAAUCAAAACUUUACUUACGAGCAAAUGUAGUAGUAAUGAUUUGAAUAAAGAUCAAGCAGCAGAUCGUUCUCCUGAUCUUGCUUCUAUAUGAUCAAAGGUGUAAGCCUUAACUACUAGAUGUUGGGUUACCCUUCACCCUUAACUACAAUAAGGACAAAGGCACAGGAUGCAUCAAAGAAAGGUGUUAGGUAUUGCAUAGAGAAAGGGAAUAUUCAAUCAAGAAGAGAUAUAGCUUCUGUAUCGGGUGCUAGUGUUGACGACGCUGAAUUAGGACUUGGCGCUUACAGAGUUAUCAGAUCUUCUGCGCACUAAGCAAUCUGAUAGACUACUUUACUUGGGCAAUCUUCAUGACUAAGAUCUUCCGCGUUAGGGAGUCAUGCUUCUGCGCACUAAAUUCCUGUGAGAGUUGACUGUAGUUCAAAAUACUUCAUUGAUUAUCGAGCAUAGAGUUCCAGUUUUCGGGAGUUUAGCGAGGCGAAAGUCAUGCUAUCAAGAAUCUUAAGUAUAAGGAAAGACUUCAUUCCGUAUUUGUUGAACAAGCAAGGUCAAAUAGAACAAGUGCUUUAGCGAGUUGUGCUUCAUAAGUGGAUCAUGAAACAGAGACCAGAGAAUAAGACAUUGAUUCUUUCUUUCCCGCUGACAGGAGAAGGCUUAUGAAACGAAACCCCACUUCCAGGAACCUCCGCUCCACUUAGAGAAUGGCAAAUCACUUACUUUAUACCUCGAAAGGCAGUUCUACGGCAUUGACGCCUAACAUCUUGACUUUCUACCCGCUUGGUCAAUCAAAUCUCAUGAAGACGAAAACCAUGGCUUCUUUACACAAUCUGUCACUGCCUGUCCUCUUAUCAGCAUGAACGAGCAUCCAAAGAAAGAAGAAUGUUCCCACCACUCUAACGAUUAUAGAACAACAAGCUGCUAUGGCGCACUCUGAACUGACGUUAGCACCCGAUCAAGCAAGUAACAGCUCUCGCUAGGGUCAAAAAAAGGUAUUUAUAGAUAUCUUGUCACGUUGAAAGAAAAGAUAUUGUUGUUGACUCUUUGAUAUUGGUGUGGUUGUGCUUUCUAUUCUUUUGCAUUCACAAGCGUGUUCUGAUCUUGACCCGAAGGUAGUAGCGGUAGCCUUCGUAAGGCAAGAAUGGAAUAGAGGGAGUUGUGAGUUAGCCCGUUAGCUUUGGAGUGAGUAGUGACUUUUGGAGUAAACGAGAGAGUAGAGAUGAUAAGAGUGGGUAGCCUCCGCGUAGAAGUCAUUGCCCCGCUGGAGCAAGCAAAGCAGGUUAGAGUACGGUUGGUGCUAGUGUUGCUUGUGUAUAAGUCUUAAAGUGAAUGAGUUCUUGUGCGAGUAACGUCUAGGAAAUUCUAGUAUAGGGCCAGCAAGUGACGUUCGAGUUGACUACUGAAUAUUUCCAGAAGCCGAAUCGACUCUCUCAAGCUCAUGGAGCGGUGUUGUAGCAAGGGAGCGGACCCACUUAUGCGCAAAGCUGUGAGUCUAAUCAUAUAAAGAAUGUUGAAGGCCCAUGUGACUCCCGAAACCUGGACAACGCGGUUCAGGCUAAACACCCCGCUUUCCAGUCGCCCUGGGUAAACGACUUUGUUAGCCUUACCCUUAACUUAUAUUUAGAUGCGUAGGCUAUACGAACUCCCUUACCCUUAACUUAUAUUUAGAUGCGUAGGCUAUCUGAACUCUCUUAACUGUAACAGAGACCAUGGAUCGAACUCUACCUCGCGCUACUAAAGCAUCAGCUUCAAUAAAAGGCAACUAAAGCACCCGAACCAAACUCUUGAACCUAUGAUUAUCUAUCGUAGCAUGUUCCUAAUUCUUAUCCAGUUUCGGCCGAUGAUCUUGUUCCUACUCUUUGCACUCUAACAGGUUACAUUCGGGGCUUUUGAGUCUGAUUCGUUUCCUUUCCGGGCUUUGGAGUGUCCUCUCCUGUUACUUACUUCCUAUGAACGCUAUAUUCCACAAUUAUUCAAUGAAGGUAUCGAGUCGCCAACACUGAGAAAAGUCAAGUAAGCACAACUGCUAAAGAUCAAGCAAGCACUUAAGAGGAAUGUUCUUUUGCACUCAAAUAUAGCUUAGCUCUCAUACCUUUACCUGCCUGGUACACAAGGGAAUAAGACAUAAAUGACUUUAACUAACAAAGGGUGAACUCCGUAAGCGAGCAGAACGUCAUUACUUAUAGGUUUGAAACAAAGCAGUGAAGUUAGAGUGGAGUGACUUUAUUCUAUAGUGUUUGUGUGUUUGUCAGUCAAAUUCUUUUCAAAAGGCAAUGGAACAAGGCCUUAAUUCAAAGAACUCGCUAACCCGUGAAAACAUCUACGAAGACAGGACUUGGUAGGAGGCAAGGAAGCAAGCUUUAGUGGAGGUAGUAAAGUAGGAGACAAGCAGUCAGAAUAGAACUAAGUAGUACAAGUAUAAGAAUCAUACCUAGACCUAUUAGUAGUUAUCGGAGAGAGGAAGCAAUAAGUACUGAAGAAUUGCUAUCAGGCAAGUCGACAAGUGUAACUGUAGUAGUGAGUUAAAAGAAAAAAAGGACUGGCUCGUAAANNNNNNNNNNNNNNNNNNNNNNNNNNNNNNNNNNNNNNNNNNNNNNNNNNNNNNNNNNNNNNNNNNNNNNNNNNNNNNNNNNNNNNNNNNNNNNNNNNNNNNNNNNNNNNNNNNNNNNNNNNNNNNNNNNNNNNNNNNNNNNNNNNNNNNNNNNNNNNNNNNNNNNNNNNNNNNNNNNNNNNNNNNNNNNNNNNNNNNNNNNNNNNNNNNNNNNNNNNNNNNNNNNNNNNNNNNNNNNNNNNNNNNNNNNUUUGUUUAGCUCCUGAAAACAGUGGAAUCCCUAGUUUGAUCUCUUUGCUACGAAAGAAGUUAUUGGUUCUCUAAGUCGUCAUAGGGAGAAGUUAUUGGUUGGCUUUCCCCUAUAGAGGUUGGUGCUUGACUUUAAUAUUGAUUGAAUUCUAUACCAUCGCAAGUCCUUGCAACUACUACAGACGCAACUCAGGAUAAGGAGUGUUAGGCCGAGUCCUUUCUUCGGGCGAUAGGGAGUUUGCUUCAGCUAGAGCUAGAUUCCAUUAUGUAUUUGUUGACAAGGGAUGAGCAACAAGUCCACCACACCAGUUCGGGCAAGACGAACAAGUCAAAGAAAAAGAUCUGAAUGCCGAUGCCUAAUAGAAAAAGUCAUUAAUAAAACAAGUAAGUAUAAGUAAGCGAGGCGAAAGUAAGGGUUCCGUCAGGGCAGAAGCUGAAGCAAGCAGACUAGUAACUACAGCUUGUUUCAAGAAGUGUUUUUUGCCAUAGGGGUAGUUACGCAAUAGCACAUUUCACUAUUCAUUAUGGGAGGUCAAGAAUACGAGUAUCCUGCUAGUCGAGGUAAAGUUUCAAGUAUAGUAUCUAUUUCUGCUCCGGGUAAAGUUUCUUCUGCUCGAGGUGAAGUUUCAAAUGUUGUAUCAAGACUUUAUGCGCGUAUCGAGUUACGUGAAGCUCGUCUCAUAUAGAGUAAGGAUCCGGAAAUGAUGUUUCUGUGCGAAAGGUCAGGUCAACUGAAAGCGGUAAAGGUGUAGUUCAGGGAAGAAAAUCAUCUAGUAUAGGUUCCAGUGCUUGUGUCUAAGGCUUACGCUCUGCCAGUUCCAGUUUCAUCUGUGUUGUCUACAAGAGAGGAAUCGGUGGUAUAAGUAGGAUAAGUCUCAGUAUCUUUAGAGGGAACAAGAACAAGAUCAACAGAUGGGGGAGCAGGUUAGGAAUAAAGAGAAGAAGCGCUGUACCCAAACUCAUUUAUAUACCUAAUGCUCUAUAAAUAAAGAAUUCCUCAUUGAUAACUAAACUAAUUGCAUUGAAGAAAGGAGGCUCAGGUUCCAAGAAAUGAUGAUUCGUCUGGAGUCUCGGAUCUUAUACAUGUUUGAGCCAAAGAGAGGUAAUUGAUACCGGCAGUCCCUUUCUUUUUCUUGAAAGUGACAGAUAGCCAGCCCUAAAGUUAGGGCCCCGGAGAGGAGAUAGGAUUUCUUUCUCAACUUUGAUCGACCCUUAUUUCCGAACAUUGACCAAUUCUCUCUCAUUGUUACAAUACAGACAAAAUGAUGGCGAGACAAUCGAUAUGUGUAAGUAGAGAAAGACCGGAUGGGCGGACGACUGCUUAUUCUGGACAUCCCGCUCCGUGGAGGUAAGCUCCGAAAGACUCUCUCAAAUCAAUUGGAAAUGCUAUGAGCUUCUUUGUCAAGUCAGCAGUAAUGAGUCAAGAGUAAUAUUUCACUAUUCAUAGAAUAUAGUCCUAUUUUCUUGGAAGUCCUAUUUCCUAUAAUCAGUUAUUUGAGAGUUGAUUCUCUCGGGUCAUUUUAGCAUGUGACUUACCUUAACCCUGUGUACUAGAGAAGAAAGAGGGAAGUGAGCAGCGCGUAUGACUUCCUUAGGAUAGAGAGGAGAAGGAAAGAAUAUGGAUUCGCACAAGAAUCAGACAUUUGCACUAUUUAACCAAGGCAGUGUGAACCCAUGCUUUUGUUGGGCAAACCGUGAUGAUUCACUUUUCUAUAUUACGCCGGCGAUAUCAUAUCAAAUAGAAGAACAUUAUUGACUAUUGCAGAACAUUAUUGACUAUUGCAGGUUAUGCCCUGCCUUGCUCUCUUAUAAGUGCAAUAUUCUAUAAAUUGAUGAAAAACACUCCUUAGCAUUUCAAAACAAACACUCCUUAGCAUUUAAUCAAAGGAUACAUUGCCAGGGCGUGGGGAAAAAGCGCUCAUGAAAGCGUGUAGGAAUAUCGAACCUCCUCUUCUUUGCUUUGAGAGCGCCAACUCUUAUUUCCGUGUUUUUACUUAAGUAUCGAAUUCUAGAAACUCAUAUGAAACCAGCAACAGAAUCAGAAGUUUUAAGAAGGAAGCAAGGCAUUGUAUAGAAAGUGGUAAUAUUAGAUUAUUCUAUACUAAACACAAACUCACGUAAGCGCUUUAGUUACUCAUUCAUUUUGGACUGAUACGCAUAUAAUAGAUGAUUUCUCAAAGAAUCUAUUGCCUAGCUUCAGUAAAUGAUACAGCUUAGCUUGCCUUUUCUUUUUGAUUGAACUAGUAGCUUGGCCGAACCACUUGUUUGUUGAUUUCUGCUUGUUUCAUGCACGUAUGAUAUAAUUGAGUCACAAACGACAGCAUACUUCUGGUUUACUUUACUUGAGUCACAAACGACAGCAUACUUCUUACCUAACUUGACUUCACUUAUUUAUAUCGGCACCUUUACAUCUUUCUAGAUUGAUAUCGGCACCUUUACAUCUUUCGAGGAGGCGGAAACUCUUGCUUUCAUGCCGUACAAAGAGGUCUACUGGGAUUGUGGGAAUAACCCCGCGAAGAAAUCAAAUGAAUGUCAGGCUUAAGAAUCUAUUUAGGAAAGGAAACUUAAGGAACUACUAAGAGCGGGCAGGGCAGCCAAAAACAUAGCUAGUAGGCGCCAAGUCACUGCUGCAAAGAGAAUCUUUUUCCGUAUAGAGGAAAUACUGGUCAAGAGAAAUGAACUGUUCUGGUCCAAACAAUAAAGUAAGAAAGCUUAAGGCAAAUAGAGAUUGAACUCUGCACCAAUAGCUUUGGAAAUCAUCCCAUGUCGUUGUUUGGUUGGAGCUUCUGCCCAGCUAUGUGCUAAAGAAUAAGCUAUAACCUGACCAUACUUCUAGAAAGACCUCAAUGGUACUUAUGGGAGUUUCAGACUUAUAGAAUGGACUUAUAGAAUGGCGCUAAUGAUUGGGCAUUCCAACUGAAACGAUUAAUCCCAACCUUAUAGAUCUCCUCCCUACUUAUUACCAACCAACCUUGUUAUAUCGGGGGAACUCCUCCAUUUCAUUCUAUUUCGGUACCACCGCUUACAAUCGACUCUACAAAAGAAGAGGACACUUUCGUAUAGGCUUAUUCUGAUCUCAUAUGAAACAAAUAGGCUUUCGCACUUCCAUUGAGACAGAAAGCACUUAAUGACCAGUUCCCUAGCUAGAAGUUCCUCGGUAGAUUGAUUCAAGUCUUAUUAAUAUGAGUAUAUCGAUACGAAACGAAACCGAAAUGGAAAAUUGGAUCACGGGAAAGAAAGGGGAAAGACUACCGAUACCGAGUACUACCGAGACAUUAUACCAAGCAAGCUUUGGGGUCAAAUAGUGUAGAAGGAAUUGGUGGUCAUAGAAGAUUGAAAUAAGUCCAAUAGUUGACGCCUUUAAGCAUCUUUCCCAUUGACCCGAGGCGUGCUAACAAAUAGUAGGGGCCCCCAUCCGAGGGACUUUGUUUGACUAUUAUUUCUGAAUAGGGCAAACUCAACCGUUCCAAGUGGAUUACUAGGCCCAUCAGGCGAUUCAACACAGACGAGGGGAAACCCUAAUGAUAAGGAAGAAAGAUCGGAAGACUCAUUAGGACUUGCUUGCGAGAACAACCAAAUGGAAUUGCUUUAUAGCUCUUUCCUAAGAUAUCUUCUUUCUCUAUCUAUGCCCUUAGUCCUCUCUCGAAAAGCAAUGGAAGGCCUUUUAGCUAGUUGAGUUCUUUCAUCGCCCCUGUCCCUCGUAUACUUUCAUUGUUCUUUUUCCACUUUCUUUUCGGAUUGUUGUUCUUACAAAAGGUUCCACUUCCCUUGAAGACGGACAUUUCAUGAGUUCCUGUUUGUUUUAGGAAAGAGCCUCGGCCUACUUGCUUGCCUAAGUUCUGAUGAAUGGGCUCAGGAGAUUAAUGAUCUUAGGUUUGAAUGAAAGACAGGAGACGAACGUUGUCGAUUGGCUUGGUACCGUCACUUUAGAAUGCACUCCUGGAAAGACUCUCGUCCAUAUUAGUUUCAUUGCACGUCCAUAUUAGUUUCAUUGCCCAACCCGCUAAGAUAUCAAACUCAUAGUUAUAGCUAUCGAUGAAAGUGCUAUCUACCUAAGGCAGCCUUAUUCAUUCGAUUGAGUUCCCGAUCGAUAUGAUACAUAUGGAUCAAAGACGCUCUCUCUUAAUUGCAUUCUAUUUAGUGAGGUCCGCUUGGCAUCCGGGUGAGGACAGAUUGGGUAGUUGGGGCCUCAUCCACUUUUCUGCUUCUAUUCUUCUUUCCUAUUAUUGAUCAAAUAAGGAAUCCAGCGCAAGCUUCGACUCAGUGGCAUGGCAGUAGAACCGACCAAUCUUUCUGAAACAAGGGUUAGGGUGGUCCCAUUACGGUGGAUUGGGAAUCAUACAUAAGGUAGAUCCCGUCAGAGUGAGCCGGGGAGAUCAAAAAGGAAAUGCAAAUCCGAAUAAAGAAGGAACUUCAUUUCAUGGAUACAGGGAAGAGAAGAGGGAUUGAAAGAAAGGAAAUUUGUUCGACAACGAGUUGAGUGAUCCAAUAGGCCCAUGUUGAGAUAGAAUGAUCCGAGCCUAAAUAAUCUUCCUUCCCAUCACAAUCCACUAAUAGUAAAGUAAAGGAAAGGAAGAGGCGCCCUUGCCAAGAGCCUGUUCCAGUCAUGGGAGUUUCCCUUACUCCGUUAAUUCGUUAUCUGUCUCACCGGUCUAAGCAGUACCUAUUUCCGGAACUAGUCAAUCGAAUCUUAGACUCGGCUUCCAAAAGUCAAAGAAGAAAGAAGGUAAGACAACGUUAGAUAGCACCCCCACUUAAGCCGCCAGUCAGACUAUCUCUCAUUUUCAUACGAUUUUCGGCAUCAAACAUCACACAUAGGACAGGUUAGGGAUAUAAGGGGAUUGCAGCUGGAGUCAAAACAAGAGUCAAAACUGGAGCAAUUGAAUCCGCCGAAUCCAGAACAAAGGUAGGUUCCUAACUCAUUGGAUAGCAUCAUUUCUUGGUCAGGGAUACCAUCAAAACAAAACGGAUUGAGGAGCCUAGACUUUACAGGGCAUAGGGUAGAUUGAACAGUCCUUUACCUUUAAGUGGCCUUCUUUCUCUUUCUUCUACGGAGCUCUUAAAGAAUGGAUCAGCUCCUAGCGUGACAAGUCCAAGGUAGUCAUGCCAAGAGCGGGCAAACACUGUGAUCGGAACUGCCCUACUAUAACUCCCAAUUGGCCUGUUAGGAUCGCUAGGUCCAUCAAAGUCUAGGAGAAACCCCAGUAUUCCAAAAUGACUCUUGGGGAGCAUGUCGUGGCUUGGGGACAGGAUUUGCACCAAUCAAACGAACUUGACCCUUUAGUAGAUCGCGAGAAAAGUGUUGUUAGGUUCUUUUUUAGUAGCAAGCAAUCGGAGACCUUCCUUUCCUAUUAGUGCUCCUUCCGCUUCCUUUGUAAUUGGACUUCGACGUCCUACCUCACGAAAAUCCAUUCUCCCAGCAACAAAGAGAUAGGUAUAUCCCCAAAAAGCAACAACGAUAUAGGUAUAUCCCCAAAAGAAAAUGCCCAACGGAGGUCUCCCUUGAUACAGAACAAUUCAAUUCGUCAUAGAGUGGAUAAAAAAAAGCACUUAUUUGGCAAAGCCCAACCGGAUCUUCUUUCUCUGAUGCGCUAGUACCAAAUAGACCCGCCGAGCGUACCGGCUACACCUCCAGAUUGAUCAGGUAUACUACUAAGAAUAGAGAAUCCGUGUUCACCUUAUAGUGAUUUCUAAGUAUCCGUUUAAGUGUUGAAUUGUAUUGUAAUAAAGUAGUCAAUUAGAAAAACACCUACUGGUCGAAGUGAAACUAAAGACUAAUGCACCUAUUCAUUUUCAUUUGGAACCUUCUCACUUAUUUCCCUAUCGGGGAACAAAGGCUAUACGAGAAUCUUGAGCUUGAUAGAGCAAAGGAAGUACUGAUUAGCUCUCUUCUUACCCUCUAGGCUAACAGAACUCAAACCUAAAGGAAGUCUCACGCUAAUAAGAGGUUUCGAAGAACAACGAGUCUCGAAGCAGAGCAGCGAGAACGAAUGUGAGAGGAGCGAAGCAGCUCAGGAUGUGGCAUCUUUCCUUCUGAGAUUUGUUUUAGGCCUAGAAGCUCCACCCAGAUGAAGCACUUCGGUUCGGCAAGAAUAUCAGGUUGGAUAUCGAUAAAGCAAAAGAGAAUCAGAAAAGCCCAUUAGCUAGAAAGCCAUAAGGACUGAAACCUAUUGAAUCGUAUCAAACUACAUCUUGACCAUGGAAAGUAGGUAUCAAAACAUUUGAAAGACCGCUAACAGAGAGAUCCUUUCACUUGCUUAUUUCCGUAAUCUCCUCCAUCCCUAUCCAUCCUUAGACUGACCAGAGAAAGAGAUAGCCCGGAUAAUACAAAGACCGCAUAAUCUUUACCAAUAUAAUAUGGUGAACUUUGAAAAAACCAUCUUAAGUGAGAGAAUUGGCAGAGGUAUUUCUAGCUUUUGCUAUAUUGAAAUCGAAUAUAGACUCUAAAUAGAUAGAAAGAUGACCCGAUCGGGCGUACCAUAAUAUCGCUCCAUACAUAGAAAUGCCUACAUUCUCCGCUCUUAUGUUGGGCUCUGCGCUUCCACCUACAAUCGGAAUGGAAAGAGUCACUAUAGAUAUGGUCAACACCCUAGCUUCCCCUACAAUCGGAAUGGAAAGAGUCACUAUAAGAUAUGGUCAAAACUAGAUAUGGUCAACACUCCAUUUUCUGCUUACUUUCUUAUAAUAUAAGGUAUGGGUUCGUUUUUUCGGGUGACUUUUGGGAAGAGGCAUGAGCGCAAUAGUUUACGCGAGCAGGUGAAUGCUUGCUAAGAGGGCUUUUCUUCUUCUUAGGCUGGAUCAAACCUCGGCUUCAUCGGAUGAAUGAACGUCCACCACUCCUACUAUCGGCAUACCGAAAAGCGGAGACUGAUUGGAUUUCUUCUAUCUAUGUAGCCAUUUGUUAAGUCAUAAUUCAAGUGUGGAGGUCAUCCGAAGAAAAACAAUAAAGUAUAUCCUUCCUAUCAGCAGUGUAAGGUGAAAGUUGCUGUAGUAUUGGCUUUCACUAACUUAAUAAGGUGAUUGUCAUAGGACCAACCCAUUUUUCCUUUGAUUUCGGAAUGGGGCCCUCUCCUUUCUGGGUUUUCGCUAGCCUACCACUUUUGGAAAGGCGCUUACAGGACCUGAAAUACCGGCUAUUGCAAGGAUUACGCAUGAAGUGAAGUGAGCUUUCUUUUCGUGUCUAACUAUCACACAGGUUACGAGAGGCAAGGGGGAAUCCUUAAGUCUCUACUCAGAGAAUACGGCCGAAGAAAGGCAACUCGUUAGAGUGACGGGGACUGUAGCAGACGAGAUCUCUCUAGCUGUCCUUAGGUUUGACUAAGUUUAUAGGAGUGAGUGAAUGCAGUCGUUAAGCCGACAAUGCUAGUAAGAUGGACAGAACAGGUAGCUUGCUUCCGAGCCACUUAUACAGUCAAUUCAAUCCCCUCACAUCUUGGCAGAGUGCCCUUAUCAUCUUACUACUAUACCCACCAGGGAAAGCAGAAGGCAUGACAGAGUUAUGGAAUCCGGGACAGGCUCGCAAUACCUUAGAACAAACUUCUCACUUUUACUCGGGAAAGGUAGACCCGGUCAAAUACAAAAUGGCUUAGUCGGCCCUUACACUAGAAUAUAUAUAUAUAUAGAAUAGGAUGCGCUUGCCUAAGAUACUCCUCUUUCAAGGUAUUAGCUUUUUUAUCCAACCAAAAAUAGUCAAAUAGAAUUAGUAGGCUUUUGGAAGGUCCAGCCUCAAUAAAUUCCUUCUUCUUAUUGUUUCGCCCGAGUCCGUAUUGACAGGAAAAUAUGGGAAUGAAAUACCGGAACCGGAGAACUGCUUUGCUUCACACCUAACCCUAUUUAUUGUCUGGGAACCUUCGACCUUAUAUGAAAAUGGCCUUGGUACUUUUACCCUUGGCUAGUUCGCAGAGCCAUAUCAGUGACUUUGCGUUCGACUGUUGCCAACUCGGGUGUUUUUUCUUCCCGAAUACUGCUUUUAUUAGUGAUAAUAAGUGGGCAACCUUCUUGGUUAGAGUUAUAGGACAGCGAAAGGUUCAAGUGAAAGCGUAAGCGAGAGGGACGAAGCGACUUCAAGUAUUGAUCUAUACCUACAUGGAGAGGAAUAAAGAAUAUGUGCACUUUCGGUAUGGGCGCUGACUCCGUUCCCUGGGUAGCCGAGGUUCACUCAAAGGGCCAAGCAACGACUAGACAAGACGGCAAGUAGACAAGAAACUAUGUAUUGCAGUAUAUGGUAGGGGUGCCGAUCAGAAUGAACCUAAGUGUCUAAGACAACAGCCGUCAAGUAAUAAAUCAACUAUGACUGGCAGUACCCGAAUCAAAGUAACACAUAAGAAUUCACCUCAUUGGUACACUCGUUUACCCCCUUCUCGACAACCUAGCGCAGUUGGAUUGGAUAGGAAGUCAGAAUCCCCCCUUACUACUAUAAAGAAUUGGGCAAGUGCCUAUAACACCUAGGCUUCCGUACCCUGCUUGAAGUUUGUAUUUCCCUAUAUUGAUUAAUUCCUUUCUUUGAUUCCCUUAUUGCUUUAUAGCAUUCUCUAACUACUUAUUGGAAUUCUUUAGUGAACCUGUGAGUCUGCCAUUCCUGGCCUGGGGUUUCAACCCAACACUCCGGUCUAUCAGGCUAUACGCCCUUGCCUCCAAGCCAUGACUCCUAGGAGCGAGAAUGAAAUCACGGCUAACAACAAUAGAACACUACCCGCAUAGACUACCUCUAUUACGGAUCAAAGCUAUGAAUAAGGUGCUGAAAGCCUACUACUUCUAAUAUGCUAAUUCGGAACUAAGACUUGAGCUAACAAUAUCAGAAGAAAGAGGUCUACUUUGUUCGGAAGAAACACUCCAACUUGCUCAUUUGAAAUAGCCCCUAUUGAUCUUUACCUUUGAUUUUCUUGCUCGGUUGAAAAAGACCUUUCCUUAUUUGGAGAUGGAAAUAUUAGCCCUUGGAAUGAAUUGGUCCCCCUUCCAGAAUAGGGCGUGUGAGAACGAUAACUUCGAAUACCAGCCCCUUCCACCAAUAAGUGAUCCCACCAUCGUACGUACGGUUGAGGAAGCGCAAAAAGCAGUCAUAGUACUUUAUUGACUUUAUUAGGUAGAGAAAAGCCUAUCGAAGUCUACUCUUCCCCUUCCUUCUAUAUGGGAGCUUGCAUUGAUGCCAUCUUUAUUAGCUUAGGAUCUCUGGGCCGUAAUACUUUGAUAAUAGCCGCCCUUUCUUGCUUUUGUAAAGGGAUAAGUGAUUUCUCCGGCUUUCGAACAAGCAAACAAACAACGGAAACAAACAAGCUUAGUAUAAACAAGCAAUGGCGUUCCGCUCACUACAGCGCGCUUAUUAGUAGUGAGUUAAGCGCUAACGGGAAUUCUUAGCUGCUCUGAUAUUAAUGUUUAAGGAAAGUCAACAGUUUGUUUAGACUGAUUUAUGUUACUCUGUUAUCAAAUCUGGAACUAAUAUGAAAUUCUAUUCAACAAGCAGUGAAGUGUUGUUACGAUGUUACAUAAGUGGUAAUUCCAUUCUUUCUGCUCACAAAGUCAAUCAAGUAUGAAGACCAAGACAAAGGAAUCAGACCUGUAAGCGGGAGUCUAAGAAAAGGUAUGGUUGGUCAGCUUGGUAAGGUAAGUCAGUUUGAAGAGUGAAAUGGGGAGCAAGAGACUCGAUCUGCUCCUAAAGAAAAAGAGGGUGCCCAUACUAGAUGAGCGGAGGAGCUUCAACACAUAAAUGUGAGCCUGGCAUUACCUCAUCCAAUAUUGAUUAUUCUGUUAUCGUAUAUGAUAUUGAAACUACUGUAGUAAGAAUGCGACUAGUACUUCCGGGGCCAAACACCACUUAUGAGAAUUUGACUUGAGAUCCAGAUCCUGUCCUUACUUAGUCUUAUUACUCGUAUUAUUAUACCUAGACCUAUUUAUUGUACCUAGACCUAUUACUCCAUUCCCUCAUCCGAUCCUUAGUAUUAUGUAUUGCACAGGGAGUGGGUCUAUGUUAUUAAUAAGAAAUGCACUAGAACAGCAUUUAUUUGGUGUUGAUGGGAAAUACAUCAUGUCAUACACCUAAUCGAUCUUCUAAUGACCUAUAACACUGCAGUAUCAUAAUUCAAUAAGUAAGUAGAGAACCAAGAGGGUAAACUAGUCCUUAGGGAAUAUUCCACAAGUAAGGCAAAGGCUAGGAUAAAGGGAUAUCGGAUUGGAAGCAAGGUGCUGAAAGCGUUCUAGUGACUUUUCUAAGGAUCUUCAAGUGGCAGAAGAAGCAAUAUAAAGGUCAGUUUAAAGAAGAAGCUGAUACCUCCGAGUUCUGAAAUUGAUGUUUUCCUUGGUCCCCCCCCCCGUUAUCAAAGUUUGGGCUCUCCAUCUGGGCACUCAAAUAAGAGAGCUAUGACCCGAUACUAAAGGAAGAAGCACGCACACUGUUUUCAAUACUAUUGAUUGAUUCUUUCGUUCACAAUCCCUGCUUGAACUGACUUGCUUGGCUCGGCUGGAGGCACCCGGAUCUAAAUUGAGAAGAACACCGAUAUAACCACUGACUAUAAAGGAUUACCCGUGUAGUAGAACUGACCUCAUGCCAUAGGCACUGUUAUCUAAUGGAGGAUUCCCUUCCCGUCUUUUAGCCUUCCUUUCCUGAUAGAGUAUACCUAUCAGUGCUUGGAGUCUGGGUUUACUGUAUAUAAGCCUACCCUUCUUAGCUUAAGGUCUCUUAACUCCUCUUUGCAUUCUUUAGAAGCAGUAGUACCCGCUUGGAAGCAAAGAAGUCAUAUUUACUACUACAACAAGUAAGAUGGAAUACCCGGGCAAUGAAUUCUUAUUAGUGCUGGUGUUGGUUUGAUCCCGGUUCAACUCUUUCCAGUAGCUCACCAUCGUUCCGCUGCCCUUGUUAGCCCUUCUUUCAUUCUACGAUGAUGGAUGAACUAUAUGCCAGUCGUAGUAGUAGUAAUGAAACCAUGACUAAGGAAUUCAAUCAAGUAGUAAAGUAAUGGAAGGAACGUAGUUAGUUGGGCGCAUGUGCGGAAUCGAACUCAGUAGUACGAGAAUCCACUUUUGAAGUUCGAAUUUCAAGGAGUCGUAUUUAGGGCUAAGGCGAGUGUUGAGUAUACAAAUUGCACUUUCCAGUAAGGCGCUACCAGACUAGCUCUUUGUAUCCUAAUCCAUAUUUCUCCUUUUCUUAAUCAGAACUCACUACUAGGUAGGCAGUAUGUCAGAAUGAAAGACAUUAGUCACAGAACUGGUUAGCUCGCCCCUUGCACGGAAUGAAAUACGGAAGUUCGAACUCAACACUACCUGAUAGAGUAGAAACAGGGGUCGGAAUGAAAGAAAGAAGGAAUCAUACUAAUUAGAAUAUGGGCUCCCUAUGACUAAGAAUGAGCAGGUGCAUCGGGUAAUCAAACUCGCAAAUCGGAGUUUCACUCAGCAGUAACGGAAUCCAGGGAAUAAGUAGAAGACCCUACUUAGCUAGCAAGUCAGAAUACAGCUCGUACGGGGAAGAAUAAAGCAGCGCACUCAGUGAAUCAAAAUCAGAAGUCAGGGUACAUCUGUGGGGGAAACUAGGGGAAUGGAACCAACUAGGAGAAUGGAACCACUGGGGAAAAAUCAUUCCACUACUCUCUAUGGGGUUGUGACUCCUGUCUAUCAGAAUUGAAUCACUGCAGGCAAGAAUCCACUUGGGAAUAGGGAUUUGAUCUACAAACAGUAUAUGCCACUCCGAACUCAAAGCUGGCUUUACUUGGGUUCAAACGGACGGACUCUCUUUGGUUGCAUACUGAUCCUAAUGUCACCAAUGUAGCUCAGCUAAAGAAAUCAUCCCAACAAGAGAAGAAUCAUAGACCUUUGCUCGAAUCCAGGAAAUCAAUCAAUAAGUAAUGGAAUGAAUCUACUAUAGACAUAAGGCUGUGACUUCUGCUUCUCAGAAACAAGCUACCGAUGAAUAAAUCUACUUAUAAUCUGAAUUUCGCUAAGAGCUUAGGGUCGGGAAACUCCACUAUUGAUAACAAGGCCGAUACAGUGACUAAAAAGAAUCGAAUCACUGAUAACAGGGCUCGACCCAGGGAAUUCCACUCUAAAGCAGUAGGCUUGAACCGACAUUCAUAAGAAUUUGACUCAUAAGUAGCAGACCACCAUCUAAACCCAACAAAGUCAAAUAAGAAAAUGUGGGAACUACCAUAAUUAUAGGUAGCAGGGGAAGAACCGAACUCGGAACAAGGAAACCAACCGCCAAUAAAAGGAACCCCGCUCCGAACUCAGGCUAUUGCUCGUCAGCUACAUUAUAUAUCUAUUGACUGAAACUGCGCGCUACUACUCCUUCCUGGCAUCCUUGCUUCUCUUUCUUUGGGUACCUCCUUUGGGUACCUCUGCUUAUUACGUCACUGUUGCAUAUCCGAAAUAGACUCUGGAGUAUAGCGUUAUUAGAAUCAAGCUAGUCAGAGUAUUAGUAUUAAGUAGUAAGGUAUUGUAUUGUAAUUCCACUCAGAAGUCAGAAGUCGACUCAAAAGUGAGAAUAGUCGUUAAGGUAGGCAGCUUCGAGGUCGAGGGACAGCCAAAGUCUCAUCAGGCGCCAGAGGAAUCACUUUGAUCUGUUGAGUUCUCAUGGUAAGUUGCUGAGGAGUUAAACGAAUACAAGUAAGGCUCGGAGUCUACACCCUUAUUUAGAAUGGCCAAGACACGAAAAUACAACUCUAAUAAGAAACUUCAUAUAGUCUAUUUUUUAGUGGUUUUCCUAGCGUAAUUAGAGCAAAAACGAGAUGACUCUUUCUGUUUUUUGAUUCUCAAAUGGUAGUUGUUUUCUCUUGAACGAUAGAGAAAGUUGCUUCGACCAAGACCGGAACGAUAGCUCUUGUGCACGACCGACCGAACGAACAAUGAACGAGGUACUACCUUCUAUUCCUUAGUUUAGAGCUAAGGGCUUCCACUUACUUCCGGAAUUCUGCAGUUAAGGUAUGAGCCCGCCUCUCCUAUGUUUUUGUAUGCCUUUCCUGUCUCUCCAAGGCGACUUCUCCUUUAGUGCAGUCUGAUUCCUCUCAAAGUAGGAAAAGCACUACAGGUAAACUGCCUAUAUGCCUGAGAACAAUAAUAAGCCUGAAAUAUUCCUCACUCAUCUUAGACUGAAACUGCUGGCACCUAACGCUGCCCUUACUUUACGGACUCAAACUCACGCCUAUCGGGCUUACUCCCUUACUUUCCAACUAGAUCUCUGCUUGCACUCACCAAGCCAACUAAAUACUCUUAGGCUUAAACUACUGUCUUCCAAUCUUGAUCUCCCCCAUCUUGGCCUGUGACUCCCGACCUCGAACCUUACUUUAUAGUUACAGAAUCAAAAACGACCCUAUUAGAUUAAGGCACUACCCUAUGUUGUUAGACUGUGGUCUACCAUAUUGGAAUGAAACUCAACAAUAAUCGAAUUGGACUCAUCAGUAAAAGAACUAAGCCGGUAGUCCGAAGCCCUAUGUUAUCUAUACAGGGAAAAGCCCUACUAUCAUCACUAGAAAACGGACCUAGCUCCCUAAUAUGCCAAGCCUUAUUGCCUUACUGGAAAACUAGAACAAAAGACCUCCGUCUUGCUUAUUUACCUCUAGCUCUUAACUAUCCAACUUAUUACCUUACACUUCCCUGCCCAAGCCGUACUCGCAGCAUUCCCGUUCUCUUGUGUUAGUCCUUUCGUUCCUAUCUUCUACUCUUUAAACAAUGAUCCAGAUCCUUACUUGACUCAAGAUUCUCCUGCCCUUCUAGCUCUCCAGUAUUUAUUCCACUACCGGGCUACAAUUCCCCGAUCUUAUUCUGACUACCUUUGCUUUUAAGCGGAUACUAACGCUACCUAGGCUUACUUUCCUUAAUGCUAUAUUCUUUAACCAACGAUCUGGAUAUCCUUUCACUAAUGCCUUAGAGCCUAUCCCUCUCUUUGCUUUUAUUCUACAACUACUGACUUCAAACCUUGCUUCCCGCCUACCAGUAUGCUCUUACUUUGUUUUCUUAGUCAUUGCCCAUAUCAGACUUAUGUCAGUAAGUCAGCCUCUCCUUAGCUUCAACUGGUAUUACUGUCCUCUAUUCUCUAUACGUGCACAACACAAUUACGCCCCUUACUCUUUAGGAACAGAUCUAGUCUCCGGCUUUCACCUGUGUCAUUCUGCAAACCAACCUUCUCAAACGGAACUCCAUCUUUGAUUCUGAAAACUUCCCUGCCCGAGCCUUCUUUUGACUAUGUAUCUAAACUUCCUUUCUUAUACUUGUUCCUUCCGCUCUUGUAGCUGACUCUUCAAUUACUUAUUAAGUUCUCAUAUAUUAAUGACAUGCUUUCCAAGCAGAUAUAUAGGUGUAGACAAGGAUAUAGGUGUAGACAAGGAUAUAGGCAUAGACAAGUCAUAACCAAGCAAUUCCGUCUAAUAAUAAAGAAAGGGGUUGAUACCAAAUUGAGCUCAAGUAACAAUAAGAAUGGAAGAGCUACUGUGGCAAACAUACUAUUCUAAAUCUACCUAACUAUAGGGCGGAAGCAGCUUCAGCUUCUUCUAAGACUAAACCAAGAGAAGGGGAGCCUCACUACAGCUGAUGAGACUGGCACUAAAACCUUCGCUGAUGAGACUGCAACUAAUACCUUCAAUGCUCAAUGCAAAAACCCCUAUCCAAACUAUGGCUUUACUGCCUAUGUGCCUGACUCUCCUUAAUCGAAAUCCUUAUUUACACUAGAAAGUCUUACUACUUUCCCUCGCCCUGGGGAACAGGCAAUUCUCUUUGACAACACUCGUACCGACACAAUCCGUUUACGUGCACUCAACUCUGACUUUAGAAGUGCAAUGAUAUUCAAAAAUGACACUAGAAGUUAGCGCCCAACCAACUAAGCAAAGAGACGAAGAGGUGUCCUGUUAUUUCAUUCUAUACUAGAGUAACUCAUUAUCAACCAGAAAUGAAUCAAUGAAAACUUAGACUCGCUUUCUCGCACCCGUACUUGUAGACGAACCUUGACCUGCUCCUGUUUCCUUAUCAUUAUUCUUAUCCUGUUUAAUAGACUUCCACUGCUUCCUUCACCUUAGGAUUCUAUGCUUCAACAAAGUCUCAAUUCCAUGAUUUUACUUGUGCGCGUUAGGAGAGGAGUUGGGCCGUUCGCAAAGAGAUGAUCCUCUCUUCCUUCGAUCGUAGAUGACACUGAUUUACUUACCGCUUCAAAGUUGUAUCGCACAAGGGCUUACUCGACAGGCAAGAAAGGAAUAUCGGCUAAUAAAAUAUUAUAGGCACCCGCUCCAACUAGAAGUGUUAACGCAACUAACCUGCUCCAACUAGAAGUGUUUAACGCUAUUAAAGCACCCGCUCAAAGUCGUUUUCAAAGUGUAGUUCGAGCUAAAGUGUCUGUUACUUAGGGUUCGUGGAAAGAGGUUCGGUGCUGUAAACUCUCCGUAAGCAUGAGAUGAGGCUUCUUAUCCGGGGAACUUUAUCGGGCUUCUCGAACUUUAUUGUUGAAGUUGAACGAUAAGGAGCUGUUUCAGUUCGAAAGUAAGCUUAUUGAAAGUACUUAUUAAGCUUAAGUAUCGGGUGAAGGAAUGACAGAGUAAACUAGCAUACUAAAGCAUAGUCGUGGAGAGGAAGGUGCAGACCCAGCCCAGUCCUAAUUCCAGAAUUAUAGCAAGAAAGGGGAGACUUAGAUGCCCAGUUUCGACUCACCAAGCAGCUACUAAUGACCAAGCCAGGCAAGCAACUACAAGACUGAAUAAGUGCCUAACCAGCUCGAUCUCAUCCCUAUCUGGCUCCUAAAACACAGAUGAUACUGGGGAUCCACUCGGAGAAUAGCUACCUUUUCCACUAGAUCUUAUUCUUACUACUAGAUGCGGGGGCCAAGCAACUACAGUUCCACUCGGUAUUCAGAAUCUACUUAACUGUCAACUCUCCUUUCUGAAGUGUUCUCCUAUAUAAGGGGAAUACCUCAUUACGUAGGGGACAACAGGCAUAGAUCAGAGCCAAACAAUUCUCUCUUUUGUUCUUAGCUUAACACAAGCACCCAACCCACUCAUAUUCUGUGCUAUCGGACAGCAAAGCAACUCUCUCCUCGGGCGAAACCACAUUGAUUCUUCAGGCGAAACAUCGAGUGUCAUCAUUCAUUCAUAGGUCGUUGGUGUACCCAAUCAGUCUUCUUAUAUUGCUGAUGCGCCCAAUCAGUCAGUCUGUUAGCGAACCUUUUGAUGUUGAUCAGGGGAUUAUCAAUUCUUAAAGGAAAGAGAACUCGGGUUGGUUAAGAGAGGAGCGAUUAGAUGAGAGCUAUAGUUUCUGAGAUGAGCAUUAGGCUCGGCUUCCAUAUAGGAUUACUUGAGCACCCAAAGAGACAGACUAGACUAUCCUCAUCUGUGACUCAAAUCUAUAUAAAGCUAUUUCUUAUCUCAAUUCUUUCAUCUCUGUGCGCCUGGUUUUUCUUAAGACGCCGCGCGUAUUUCAUGGCGUUAGUGAGUGGUGCCCAUGUCUCUGUCCUUAUAGUCCAUGGUGCCGUACUUAUGUUAUAUUCAAGGGGUAGGCUGCUUAUAUUCAAAUCUGCAACUUCAAGAAGAGAGAACAAACAACGGAAGAAGCGCUUAGUUUAGUUCAAUUCGCUCUUGUGCUUACGUGAGCUCUUUUGAGAGCCCUUGUGCUAAUGUGAGCUUUCGGGUCGGGGUACGUUAGAAGUUCGGAUGAGGAAUCUAGUUAAUAUAUAUAUAUAUAUAUUACUUUCUUAUCUAUUUUUAUGUACUUGAAAUGAAAUUGGGGCUAGUGACUGAAACAAGCGAGGGAACAAGCAAAGACUAUCUUAUUCUACGCUGGCGAAAGCAAAGGAACAGGAAACGGAACAAGACUAAGUGCUAACCUAACGCAAGAGUCAGGAGCAAGUCUGGUUUUCGUUGACUUUGUUAGUGCUAGUGAAAUGAUUUUCUUUAGAGCCUGUAGUCAGAUAAGAAGUCUGGUUACGCUACGCCAGCAGUAAUAAGUGAUGAAGAGCCAACUGGAAUAAUAAUGAAUACAUAUAUACCAAAUGCAUCAGUCAAAUAUGGAAAUGUUGCUGUUCAGGCAUCAAUGAAACAGUUCAGGGUACGAUAAGAUAAGUUGCCUUACUGAGUUGCCUUAGAUACAGAAUAUGGGUCAUACGGGAUUCCCUUACUGUUACUAAGGUAAAGAAGAAAGAGGUGUUAUCAAGUAAGCGCAGCAAGCGGGUAUCUCGGGCUAAAGUAAGCUACCAGUGCUACUACUAUUAGGGCAGCUAGGCCACCUACUAAUGUAGUUCAAUUCUGAGCUUUGAGUUGAGGUCGGCAAGGGAAGCUAUUCAAGUUGAGGUCGAUGGAAGGUAAGAAGAAAUUCCCAUGGAAGCGAAGCUCUAGUGCUGUUCCUGCCCCUUGUACUGUUCCUGCCCCGCUGCCUUAGCUUUGGCACUGCUUCCGCUCUCACUCAACUGGAAUUUCUGCACUCAAAGCAAGUACUAGAUGAUGACCUUACUUUCACCUUUCUUUCCUAAAAUGGGCUCUCUCUUCUCUAUAUUAUGAUUAUAGGCUACACAAGCAAAGGGUAUCUGAGCCAGUGAGUCUCUGGUUGCUAGUCUCUGUUCUUCCUUCACCCUGUUGAUUCUCGAACCUCUUAUCUGCUUUUUGAACUCUCACCUCUUAUCUGCUUUGUGUCUUGAUACGACAACACUCGAAACGGAACCUUGAGACCCAUCUCUGCCUCUCGAGUCGCCAACAGUAAACUGCCAAUAACGGAUCGAAACGACAAGGAGCUACAGCACCGACAAGAAGUGAUGCUAUUUGUUCAAGUGGUGCAAUAGAACAAGAGUUGUGUAAGAGAACAAGAGUUGGGGGUCGGGGUAUAGGGAAGGUAAUCCUCCAUCAAUCUUUCUUUUCUGCAAGUCAAAGCCCUUUCUUUGGAGACUUCUGCCGUUGUACUGGUCAUCUUUGAAGCUUUUAGUCGCCUUCUUUCCGCACGCAGGCAUUAUUCUUCCUAUUCUCGAUUAGACAGCUCAGGCAGUCUCCAAUCUCUAUUUGCGGAUGGUAGACAUAUAUAUGGACUUGGUUUCGGUACUGAGUGAAAUUGACUACCUGCUUGAAUACCAAGGAGGCUUCCCCCGUCGAACUGAAGGACUAAAAAACGAGGAAUAGGAAAAAAACCUACGCUGCUAAUUCUGGAAAGUAGUUUAUGACUUUCCUUUGUCCUUAUUUUCUAUGUAUUUAUAGAGGUUUAGUGCUACACCGAUGCCUUCACAUUUGAAUGAGUGGCUCUUUAUGCUAUAGUGAGAAGUAUGAGUAUUGCCCUGAGGCGGACCCUGAUUCUCUUUGAGGUUAAUAUCAAUUCUAGGGUAAACAUUGAUGGAGCCGAAGCCGAAGUCAGUCCUACUUUAUUGAUGAUAGGAAUCGCCGUUCUCUUCUUUCAAUCCCGCCUUAUCUGCUGAGCCUAUCGAAGAAAAAGGUUUCAGAAGAAUCAUCAACUCCACGGGCGUUUGUUUUGAUAUUAGAUUCAUUAAGUAUGCUUCACCGAAUCCAUUAAGUCUGAUGCUGUGAAAGCCUUUGCGAGGCCCAGGCUAAUAACCGAAAUUUCGAACUGUGUUGCAUGGCUUAAGGAGUUCUAAGAUUGACUCGCGAGAAGCUGGAAUCUUGCAUUUGUUACCGAUGAUGACAUGUUGGCGCAAAACCCCUUCCAAAACUGUUCGUGCUAUGUUGAAGCAGAGAUUUAUGGGGUGGCCGUUAAUAGAGGUUGAUUCCAACUCAUUAGUCAAUCUCAUACCUAUGUAAACUGUUGAAGCGCUAGGCAUUCCCCAAGAAAACAUUGGAGGAGCCACCUAUCUAGUAUAUAUAUAUGAUUGAUUUUCUUUAGAAUUGUCAAAUCCAGGUUAUGAGGAAUGGGAUGGUAAGAGUCAAUUGCAACGUUGGACCUUUCAAGAGUCCGAUAGUGUUCCCGGUUGUUUUUGCACCGACGACAUAUCACGCUCUUCUGGGCAGACCAUAGAUUCAGAAAGACAAUGCGGUCCGGUCCCGUCGACAUACCAUCAAUGCCGUCGACAUACCAUCAAUGUAUUAAAGGUAGAAGAAAAGGAAAAGGGGAUAGAGUACCUGCGGUGAGCAUACCCUUCGAAAGAUCAGAAAUCCAUUUGGAUGACCCUAUCCAUUAUUCGGAGUUUGCCGAGGAUGGUACGCCCUGGAAAGGAAUAAGAGCCAGAAAACAACAUAAUGACCAUGUCAGGUAACCAGGUUACUAGACAAUAUUGGAAAAACCGCCACUAGGCUUACACUGAGUCCUAAGGACGCAAGUCAAGCUCGUCCAAGGCCUUACCUUAGAUUUCGAUUGUUGGGGUGUCUCUGUAGAAUUUCUCUCUCUAUAGGACCAGUGCAAGUUGGAGUGAUAAGAUAAGCGCUUUCGAAUACCUCCCACGCCUUAGAUAGAGUUCUGUUCCAUUUCGUAAGCGAGUGUUCCUUUUUCUUACUUCCAUUCGCCCCUACAAUUGCAGACUCCUUGUCAGAAUAGUUAUAGCACAAGGGAAAACACUAGCAAGCCAAUUACAGUCUGUCGGUUUUCGAAGGGCCUGUUGGAAUUGUAGUUCUCUUUGCUGUUGUGCCAAGCGAGGGAGUUCUUUGAUAACUAUACCAGAAUUAGGGAUAAGGCAAGUUUUCUCUAAUAGGAUGAACUUUCUCUUGAAGUAGGUAAGAGAGUGAGCCCGUGUCCUCCUCGGGGAAAGGCAAGCCAUCUAGUCUCAGUGCAAAUAAUACCCUAAAUCAAGCUAAUAAGACCCUCAUUUCAUAUACCCCUUUGUUUGAGAAGUGUUUGUGUUGCUAUUAGCAUUUCAUCCAUUGGGAAUUCCCUGACAUCUAGAGUUGAGUUGAAGUGCCUCUUAUUGCCUUUACAAACAAUUGGAAGUCCCUUCCUUACCGUUCGAGGAUUGACUCGAGUGUCUAGAUAUCAGACUAGUUAUCAAGUUCCCGAGUCACAGCUAUUUUCUUUGAUUUGGAUGGGUUACACCUACGGAGCAAGUCUGCUUUUAAGCAUUAUAUGAGUAAGCAAGGACUGUUGCUAACAAGAUGAAGCAUAUAAGCGGGGACAUCCGCCUCUUCGCCAUAGCUAUAGCAUUCUUUACCAUAUAAAGAUGAGUCUAGAACAUCUGUCCGUCAGUCUCCUUACAAGAAAAAGAGCCCUUCCUUUCUUAUCUCGUAUAUUGACUAGAGGCAUAUUCGAUUGAAGUUGAUUCUUUCGGGCAUCUUAGUAAAUCAGGUUAAUCCCGAACUGCUAAGUCCUAUUUCUGAUUUAUGGAAUUUCUUAUUUAUUGAAGAUAAUCACAAAGCAGGCGGAUGAGAAGGUAAGGUGCCAAGGUAAAGGCUAAGCGACGUAUCUUUCAGACCAUAGGUGAACCACCUUUCGCUAAGGAAUGAAUUGAAGACCGCUGGGGAACUUCUUCAAAAAGAUGGAAGCGUGGGUGUCCCCUGUCUUUAUCCGGAACUUCUUCAAAAAGAUGGAAGCGUGGGUGUCCCCUGUCUUUAUCCUAGAGUUAUAUUCAAACACUAUUCUCAAGUGUUUUACUAGGCUUUCGCUUUCCCUUGCUUUCGGGCCAGCAGGGCUUUUUCUACUAUUCUUGCGGCGGGGCGGGUUCCGUCAUUCUUAAAGCGGAGUCUUUGUCCACUAUUCGCUGGUAAACCUAUUCUGAAUCUUCUUUAGGCUCAUGACAGGACUUGCUCAUAACUUGGUUGAAGAUAGGAGAAUGUUUAGGAGUUCGCUAGGGAAAGACGAGAAUCAGCUUUACUAUGACUCAGACUCUUUUGCUGCCUGGUUGUACGUUAUUUGAAUUGCCCCGUGAAGCAUCUGUUGUUGGAGGGGUUCACCUUGAUGGGGUUCGAUUUCGUAGAGCUCGGGAUGGAAAACCAAUCGAAAUGACUAUACGAUUUCGGUCCCUUUAUCCGGUUGGGUUGUCACAUCCACGUUGGCUAUUGUUGGCGAAACAAAUCUGAUGGGAUAACUAGUAUCAAACAAACCCACUCGGUAAGUCAAAAGGGUUUAAGUGAGGAUCAGUGCCCUUCCCGUUUUCUAUUACGGACUUUUCUGCUUACUAUUGAGAAUGUAGAGCACCUGAGGAAGCCUUCAAUCUAACAAAAAGGAGGGUUGAAGCAAAGCCAUUUCGAUGUACAAACUUGCGUUCCUCUAGGAUGACCUUUGCAGGGCUGGGCAACCCUAUGUCUUUCUUUGACCGAAUGGCUUUGAAAGUUGCUAACUCGGUAGUUGCUCCCUAUUCUCGAACUGGAAAAUGAUGAUGAUUAUGACUACUUACCCAUAACUAUACUCUGAGCAAUAGCAUACGAUUCAGUGAAAGACCCUUUUCUUUGGAACCAGACGCUUAGGGAAGACGCUUAGGAGUUAGUUGAGUUCGGACGAGUCAGUAAGGAAUCCUCAGGCCUAGCCGAGUUAUGGCCAGCAACGGGUCUUGUACUCUCAAGUAACAGAGCUUAUUGCGAACUUUCUACAUCCUAUGUAUAUUCAUGGAAUUCUCAGCAACAACAGAUUCAGUGGUAAGCCCGCUUCUUAUCUAUUUCUCUGAUUAUCUUAAGCGAUAGCAGACUUUCCGGCUCGGUGAAAGAGGUUGUCUCGUCCAUCUACUGAGUCAGUUACAUAAGUGGUAUCCUCUGAAGCAGCCAAUUCAUUAAUAACUAAAGAAGACUCGGUUCCACGGGCGUAUGGGAAAGGAGAUGAAGCAACAUCAGUGGUAUCAGCUAUGGAAUAAGAUGCAGGUUAGUCUUCUUCGUUGUUCUUUCUUCUUGCUGUAGCCAUUUACGCUCCCCAACGAUAUAAGUACGAAAUGACUCACUAGUCUAGUAUAAAGAAUAUUGACCGGCGAUUUACGAUAGGGCCAAGCUAAACCCUUAUCCAUCAAUUCAAACCUUUCGUCCCGCCUCGCUAACCUAUCUUUUAUAGUCGUCCCGCCCUUCUUUCCUUGCUUGGGCCUUCCUGCAGAGGACUUGAUUUACGCUCUCUCAAAUGAGAAGAUCCGUUUUCAGGUAUGUACAAAAGGGUAAUCGUAAAUGAAUCAUCAUAGGUUGUUUCCAGAAUAAGGGGCUUAUGACUUUCCUGUUUAUGCAAGUAACUUCACUGCCAAUUUAGAUACGAAUGAUAGCCCGCAACAGACCAUUCUCAGGGCACAACAGGCUAUUUUCUCUUAGCUUAUGCUGCUUACAACGAGUAGGCUCUUUAGUUUUAUAGAAUCGAAUAGUCUAUUUAUAUUGGCAUUUCUGGGUAAGGAAUCUUAGAAUGUUAAGGUGCUCCAUUCCGAAGUUGCAGGUAAGUCUCGAUGUUCAAAUGAUGGGUCAUCUUUUUCUAAGAUCUCAAAUGGCAGGGAUGGGUCAAGACUAUGAGCCUAGCUAGGUCCAUUGUCACUAAUCCGAAUCCGCAGAAGAGGAGUGGGCACCCGAAGAUGCUAAAGGAGCUAGCCCCCAAAAGAGUAUCUCGAAUAAAGCAAAGCCCCAAAAGAGUAUCUCUUAUAAAGAGAAUCAGAGUUGCAGCACUUUUGUUACUAGCUUCAAGUAAUCAUCGAUAACGCACGCCCACCUUCCCCCUUUAGCUUAGUCUUCUAAGUUCUCUCGGGUAGGGUUAAAGACAUCUGAACGUAACGCUUCCUCUCGUACUCUCUCUUUGACUUUCCGUCUAGUGCCAAGUUUUGGAUUAUACAAAGAAAGUGCUACACGGACCAGUUUCGAUGAAAGCCCACAGAAGGGCCAAAGCACAACAAGCCUACCCAUCAUCAAAACAAGCCCAAGCCCAUGCAAGAAUUACCUCAUUGUCAUGGAAGCCCUUUCCUUACUCCUCAAUAUAGUCUCUUUCUUACCUACUCUCAUGGCUUGGGGAACGGGCCCCUUAGCUAGCGCCUAAUCUCAUUUCUUUUCUUUUGUAACCUCGUGCGAGUCUAGCUCUUACUGGUCUAGGAUUCCCGUUAUCACUAGUCUGAGUGCCCCGAGAUCCAGUGCCCGUAACGUCAUCUGUCUAGUCGGAUACUUUGGGAGGAAUCCCGCUUUUUCUUUUAAGUCCGUCAUCAAAAGCAUAUAUUCUGCAGAAUAGAAUAGGAGUUGAACUCACAGGGACAUCAUCGAGAUUGAUAAGCUUAUCUUACUCUCGAAUAAAGAAGGAAAGAAAUCAAUAGGGUUGUGACUCAAAUGGAUCGUUGACAGAUAACCUGAACUCUCUUUCUGUUCCUCUAAGCGAGAUCUCGAGAAAUGCCAUUGGGGGCACUCUCUGAUACGCGUUGUAGACAUAUUCAGAGGGUCGAAGCAGCUUCCAAUUCCAUUUGUAGAGGUAACCCUGGCUAGCCCGGAUCCGUCUCAGACGCUAACGAAGAAGGCAAAGUCCCCGAUCACUCUGCAUGCUUAUAUUCUAACUUCAAGCUAGGGUCGACAAAGACUUCAACCAGCAGUCAUAGGUAAUGAGCCAGCAGUAGAUUCCAAGUCCUGAACUCCAAGUUCUGCUCGAGCAGAAGAUUCCAGUACUGGUGCGCAAAAGCGAGUUACAGCUAGAGUCUCGGGUGCGAGUGUUUCAUCUGUUUAAUGUAGUGUUGAAUCGAGUGUUGGCUUAGAAGCGGGAAGGUAUUGCCGAAACUUUGUAUCUAGUCUGCGGUUCAUAAAGUUGAGUUCGACAUCCGUGUUAUCGACUUGGAUCUUAUACAAUAAAGAAGCCCAUAAGCCUGAGAUCAUGUCCAAGUAGCGGUGCGUGCGGUAUAAAGGUGGAGUCUCAAGAGGAAGCAGCAAGCAUUGUAUAGCAAUCUGUAACAAGACAGCUCUAUACUUCCCCUUUGUAACAAGACAGCUCUAUACUUCCCCUUUACGAUAGAAUGGGGCAAUAUUCGUUAUUUAUAUACAGAGGGGCUCGAGAGAUUAAAGGAAAUUCCGUUGUCGUAUUGUUUGGCUGUUGUCGGUUUAGAGAGUCUCUUUGCUGUGAGUGCUAGCUUGAGUGGAGUCUCUUUGUCCUUUUUCAGCGCUAAGUACUGAAUACGAGUUACAGAAGCAAUAAGCAAACAAACAAACAAAGGCUUCCACAACAGGGCAUUAGUUAGCUUUGGAACAGAACAAGAAGCAACGCCCAUUAUGUUGUGCGUUUGGAGUUGUAGUGAGAGAGAUCGUUUUGGAGUAAGCAAUGCUGUCAGCAGUUAGGUUUCAGCAUGCAGUAGUGAAGGUUAAUCAAUUACAAUAGAGCAAGGAGUUAUAUGCUAUUUGCAGUGGCUCGUAAGAGGAGCGAAGUUAAUCUAUUCCAUCUUAUGUGCAUGAAACAAGCAAGGGUCCGAAGGAGCAAUUCUCUUCUUUUGACUUUAUAGGGGUGGGUUCCCUUUGACUUUCAAUGGGUAGGUUCCCAUCUUCUUUUGUACUCAAUGCAGUUUAGCCGAUAUUCCAUGACUAGUUGGUUUAAUGAGGUUCCUCUAUUCUAUAAGUUGUGCAUUCAAUUAAAGGUUUACUUCACGCUCUCCCCAACUCCAAUGCUAGAGCAAGUAGAAGGUAUCUCAUCGGAACAAGCAACGACGGGUGCUGUGUAUUUAUGAAAUUCUAUACCAUGUGCUCGACGACGAAUACGGGAACCUCCAAAUCCAAGAAUCGACCAUGACAACAAUAUAUACAAAUGCAAAUCCGAGUUUUGAAAGAGCUCCCCUAAGGCUUAUUAUUCGUUACUUGUUGGAUCAGGGAAGCGUUGCGGAAGCCUAUCUUAGUUCUUAAGGGAAGCCAAAGGAGUGCUAGUAGAAAGUAUAAGGUCAGAGGUAAGCAAUAAACAGUGAAUUGAGAGUGUUGUUACUCGAUACUAUAAGUUGUUUAUUUUAUUCCAUUCUUGAGAGAAAGAAAGGAGAUUGAGUAUGAAAGAAAGCCCUUCAUUUAUAGUUAAGCUUGAUAAGUCAAAACACUGCCCUUACGGGUGCCUUAGCCGACAUCAAUCUGUAACUCAAGAGGUUAGUCAAGUAAGCAGUCAGCAGAACAAGAAGCACCUUUCUUUUCAUUGAUACAGAAGAUCCGCCCAAGGGCUUUUUCAGCGCUAAGUCAAGAAGUGUAAUCGUUUUAAGAAUCGAAGAAAGAGUGGAAUCUACAAAAGAAGAAGUGCGAAAGGGCCAAGUAACUACGUAAGUGUAGCGGCAGUCCUGAGAAGAUAGAUUGACUACUUGCUUAACACAAGCACUCAACCCAGUACUUAAUGGAGCUGAAGUCAAACAAUACCCGAAACUCCGCUUUGGCACUAAGAAUAAGGGAACCCGGUCUUAAACUCACACUCUCACAGUACUUACCCGGCAAUUCAAUAAGUCAACUAUAUUCUGUAAUUCCUCCACAGACCUAGACUCUUUAAACAAAUACUUUUCUUGCUCUGGACUCUGGACCACUCCUCAUAACAAUUCCUUUCUUUUCUUGUCUUAGAAAAAAGAGAGAGAUCAUCAGCUAGAUUAGAAUCCAGAGAAAGAUCAGAAGCCACAGAAUAGACAAUUCCAGUUCUAGGAUCAUCAGCAAUAGAAGAAACAGAAUCAUUAUUGUUACCCGCUCCCUUCAGAGAAAAGGGUAACCCUGUAGAGGAUAGGACACUCUUUAGCCCAGAUCAGUACCAAUAGAUCAAAAUGAAUCGAGUGUGGAAUCUGUGGAAUCGUGAGUGGAAUCCUAUGUUUCAGCUGGACUGGAUCCGUAUCUUCAGCGAAAGAAGCCAUAAGAUAAGGGUAAGGGUGUCGAAAUAAGGGUAAGGGUGUCGAAUAUAGAUAUAGAUAAUUUUAGACAUUUAUAUACUUUAGCUCGAAAGAUUCUAUUAACCAAAGAGUCGACUCGGCCAAAGAUUCCUGUCCUUGUUUACUUCUUGGGUCAGUGUCUUCAAGUGAGGUUUAGUUUCAUCCGUUUGUCUUAGAAAGAAUCCGCCGUUAAGUAAAAAAGGGAAGCUGUGUUUAGAUAUAGAUAGAAAGGGUAAUAAUACUUCUAUACCUUAUCUACUUUAGCUCGAUAGACUCAAAUAAGUCUUAGUUUACUGAAGCAUUAAGUAUUGCCAGUGGAGCUCAGAAAGACUAAGUGAGCAUUAAGUAUUGCCAGUGGAGCUCAGAAAGACUAAGUGAGCCAGCUAACCGUGAGCUCCUCCAUUCCUACAUAUGCAUAAGAAAUAGAUUCAAUGACUAUUUGAACAAGGCGCAAGGUAAUAAACUAGUACUGUUUUCGACGUAAACGAGUUGUCAGUUCCAUUUCCAUUCUAGUUUGACUCAAAAAAGUCCUUAUUUCGAGGCAGAUAUAAAGUAAGCGGGAAUAAAAUCCAAAGGGUUGCGGGAAGUUAAUCACCUGUUCCAGACUUACCGGUAGUGCACUAAAGAAUGGAAGUCACUUAACACCGUCGGAAUCACCGAAAACAGGACUUGCUAAGUAGAAGUAAGUACUAGAAUGGGGUAAGAUCUAGCACAUCUAGUAGAGGACAAGUAAGUAGAAGCCUUAAAGCAAGGUCAGCAGUUAGAGCAGUGAUAAAGUAAGCAGAAGCUAGAUUUGCUAUUAGCAGAGAAGAGCAGCCCUACCCCACAAAGUCAGUAAACAAGCCAAACCUAGCAACUUGACCAAACCUAGCAACUAGUACACAGUCCCAUACUAGCUACCACUGGUUGAAGUCUUUCCCUCAUUAGCAUCGGUCUUUGAUUCCCUCGGUUCCGUCUUGCUAGUAGUAGUUCUAUUCUGCAAUUCCGACUUAUGAGUUGGUCUCUUACUUGCUGCCUACUAGCUCACCUCUGAGUUUCAUUCUGAGUUUAGUGCUCGGAAGAUCCUUCUUUGUCCUGUGUUCGCCAGUGAAUCAAUCAGUUCAGGUGCAAGAAAGUCAUCAUUGAAUGCAUUUCAGAAUCUGUCUUUUUUGGAAUUUUCAUCUAUGUUUUCCCGAGGUUGAUGCAACAAAUACUUUAUUUCCAUCUCUCGUCUCUUUCUCCCAUUAGCGCAACCCGACCCGAACUCUGCUACCCUUAACAUCAAGUCAGGUUCCGCCUUAGUAAUUACUAAAUCCAGACCCCCACCUAUAUCUAUCAACUCUACUUUCUUUCUUAACCAACAACACGAGAACCUCCCGAAGACUAUUCAACUCGAACAGAGCCACUUGCAGCACUUGCAUCUUACGAGACAACACACCUCUGAUUCUCGAGUUUACUUUCCUCCCCAACUACAGAUUCCUCUGAUUCUCGAGUUUACUUUCCUCCCCAACUACAGAUUAUUCUGAUUCUGCUUUAUACUCUGAUUCCAGAAUGACUGUAUCGUUUCUAUACUCACCACCUUAAGUAGUCAUUUUCUAUUACCCGCUUACACCUGAAAACAACACUUUUGCUCAACAAGCUACGGAACAAGAAAAAAGCAAUGGUGCAUCAUAUGACACAAACAAGGUCUCAAAGGGCAAACAAAGAAUCUACACAACACAGUAAACCGGAGCAGAACCCACUUAGCCAAGUCCUGUCUUCGUAGAUGUUUUCACGGGUCAGAUGAAGACACGGGUCAGAUCAAGGGUCUCAAUUCCAUUCCCCGCAUCUAGUAUACGCUUGGCUUGAGCUCUCCUACUUAAUAGAUCAAUUACCUUUUUGGACCUUGUUGUGAGUUAUCGUAAUCGUAUUAGUAUAGUAGUAGUUGUUUUACUAGGGCGAGUAGGUACGAAAUACUUGUUAUGUACGGGCUAGGGUAUGCUUGUUUUCAUUCCUUUACUAGGUUGGGUAGGCAAGAAGAGAAGAGAUGAGCCAGAGGUAUCGGAUAAGAAUGAAUUUAUAGGAGCCGACUGAAGCAAAUAAGAAUCUCAGAAUGCAGUUUCCGGGUUGAAGUUUGACAGUAAGAGUAGCUUGCCCCAACUCAGUGGUUAAAGCCUUAUUGUCUCCUCUUUCAUUCCAGUUUCUUUCUUUCCUCUUUCUCUAUUGACUACUUGCUGAACUCAUGGGUUAUACUACUGGAUUAAUGAACUACCUUUUCUCUCUUAACUAGGGAUUAAACAAGUCAUUCCACAAGCACCAGUUCAAUCCAUUGGAGUAGUAGCUAAGGCCCCGGCCCUGUAUUGUUUCCCCUACUGCUCAAUUCUUUGACUUACUUACUCGAUCCUUGUACUAAUAAGUUGAUUUCUUAGCCAGGGUAUAUAUCCUUACUUGAGAGUUGAGCUACGCCCCUACGACUCAAAUCUUUACUUACUUAUAAGAAAUACGGAAUGAGCUAAAGCAGACUCACUUCUGAACUAAGUAAUGUCAGUAGCAGGCCUAUAAUUGGCGUAGGUAAUAUAGAACUACUAAUCUAAUAUCAAUUGAAGAAUCAGAUAAAGGAAAGUAAUACUAAAACACAGGAGAGACAUAUUCCAAUCUAACAAGUAAGGUUUUCAUAGCAAAUACCAGAAUUCAAUCCAUUGGUCAAAGAAUAGAAGAUAGGUUAACAGGCGUGUUCGUUAAAGUACUAUAAUGGCCUUCCUUAUUUACUGCUUUACUGACCGUGCUCGGAGUAUACGAGUUAGGGUCGUAACCGCUUAUGCUCAAACAAAGAAAGUCAUUUCGUGGCCAGUUCCGCUCACUACAGCGCAAGCAACAUAAUUCUACCAAGCUUGUUCCUAACUCUGACUACCGAAGCUAUUGGUGGUUAUGAAUAUAGAUCCGAACGAUGUGGUCUUAGUAAUAAAUCAGAAGCAUAUCCAUUUGAAUGCGGAAAGCUAUAGACUAGACAUUCCCACAAGCAAGAAGAAAGCUCAUCUUUUCAUUUAACAUCUCCACAAGAGCAAGCCGGACUCGCCUGAGGUUCACAUACUUUUCUUUCUUGGCACAAAAGUGGAAUGGGCUGGCUAAAUCUUUUGCCAAUCUCUAAAAUCACACUAAUGUCCAAAAAGGUUGAGGGCGGAGUGAAGGCUUCCGACUAGCAGACUUGACAUCAAGUUGUUACACCUUCCCUAUUUCUUAUUGAUUGGUUUGCUUGCGACCGGUAAAGAAAGGAAUGAGAACGAGGGCUCCACAAUCACAGACAAAAUAAAGAAGAAGGACUAUACUAAUAUGGAAAUCCAUACAAAAUAUAGAAAGAAGGACUACUAUUGCAAUCCAUCUUAAUGAAAUGGGACCAAGCGGUUACAGACACCAAACAACGGCGCCCAAUGAACCCAACAACAUUCCUUUACGAAUACUAGAGACUUCAAUAUAUUCUAAUUAACCUAGCAACAUUCCUUUACGAGUAAUAGACACUUUUCUUGAUUAUGGAAUUGAAAGAAAAAGUGACAUACGCAAGGCUCUUAGCACCUUCAUAUACUAGUGGAUUAUAUUAUACUUGUUAUCUGCCUAGGUACAAUACAAUUACUUGUUAUCUGCCUAGGUACAAUACAAUGGAUAUGGAAGAUCUAAGCAUACAUGUGGGAUAUAGAGGAUCUAAGCAUGUGCUCCUUAAAACCAAACCUCGAGGCUUUCCUAGACGAAAAUAGUAUACUUUUGAACUCACUCUUACUGUAGCUCACAAGAAUCAGUAUUUGAUGAAGACCCGAUUGCUUUAUAGAUCUAGCUUCUGCUUGAACUCUCCUAUGGCAACUAUUAACUUCAUUCUUAUUGAUUACUCUGACUCCGAUACAACUACUUAUACUACUCGUUUGGGCUGUAACCCAGGGUCUCUUGCUCUAGUACUGUUGCUUGCUCGGCUUGUCUAGUAGUUGCUUGGCCCUUGGUGGACUUGAAAGAAGGGUUUGAAUCUACUUAUACUCUGUAAACUCAUACUGAUUCUACAGGACUCCUACUUUAGAUGCAACAGGACUCCAUGACUUAACGAGCACUUCCACAAUCACUCCUACAGUUGCUACUCUCUGAACUCACUCCUAAGCUUCCCUAUCUUAUUCAUCUGCUCCUUCACUCGAGCAGGACUACUACAUUAUAUCAACUACACCUAAGAACGAACCGAGAGAUCAACUACACCUAAGAACCGAGUGUGGAAGGGACCCACGGAACAGGAUAAGCCGUGUUCGGCGCGAAUGCUAAUGUUGCUAAUGUUGCUAGGGGACAAAGAGCUAAUGUUGCUGAGGUAAUAAAACGACUAAUAUGCUUCUAAGCCAACUCAGUACCCGGCACCCGAAACAAUACUGGAAACUGCCAAUCUCUCACCUAUUGCUCCCGACCGGAACUAUCCUCGAAAGUCACUUAUGGUUUGUCUUCCCAUACCUCUCUGCUGGCUCUACUUUCUUUCUUUAUAAAUAAGAAUAAUAAGAAUAUUCCUUUCCUUUCGCCACCCGACCCGAACUCUAUUACAAGUAUCCGAUCUUUGCACAGAGUAUAUUAAGUAGCACGCGAAACUUCCCGCACUGGAUUGAUUGCCCCGAAGACUAUACGGGGGCCCUUUGUUAUUUCAAUGAGUUAACCCCGACCCGCACUCAUUGCACCCACAUCCAUGGAUACAAUUAAUUGAACCCGACAAGACGACAAGCCACUACUAGCGAGUCCUAAUUAAAGCGUCAGCGAGUUCAUGUCGCUAAAGGGCCGCUCAUUGAACCGAACCCACCAUACCUAUGUUAACAAUACCGGAAUUCGGAUGGUUCCUAUAACUCUGACUAAUUCCUCUGUUUAUUCCGAUCCAAGACUUCUUUACUUAUAGCUUACUCGGAUUGAUUGAUUGAUUUCCCGGUUAACUACAAUCUUUCUUUCCUUGCUUACUUUAUAUGAUUCUCUUUCUUCCCUUGAUAAUGAAUAGAUAAAGUAGCUUCUUCUCCCCGCUUCAAAGCAAGUACUUAACCCUGCCCCUAGUCGCUUGGUGGAUUGAUUUCUUUCAAAGAGGAAACUCGGUUUAGCCUUAUUCCUUGCCAUCUGACCCG